GUGCGCGUUUUCCAGAAAGUGUGCGAGGUUGGUGAAGGAGCAGAGAGCUCGGUUCUACAUCGUGAGGCGCUGCGUCACCAUGCUCAUCUGCUGGCACGACUACAGAGAUUCAUAAACUGAGAACAAACAGAGGAGAGAGAAAGUUGCCAUCUUUUGCCUCUGUUUUUGUUAGAUCUUUUUGGGGUUUGAUUGCUGCAGAAAAAACCCAGUUCACAAUCAGUUUUUGUUCUUGAGGAAAGAGCACGAGGAGAAUGAUUUAUACUUGUACAUAAAAUUUUGCUCUGUUUUUAUUUGUAUUUUUAAUGGGGGUUAAGAAUAAUUUAGAUUUUGAAUUUUCUUUUUUUGGGCCUCUGAAUCUCCAAACAAAGGAGAUGAGAUGGGUUCUUGAUGUUAAUUUCACUGCUACUAUCUGAGAAUUAUGAGAAAUAUUUCAAUGAAAAUAGGGCUCUUGAGGUCUAAUUCUUAUUCUUCCUUCCUUCUUUUUAAAUUAUUAAUUUGCCUUUGCAAUUUAUGGUUAAAUUCUUGUGCUUUUUUAAUGGUUUGGUUAAUCAGUUGGUCUUGAAUUUUGAGUUUGAAGAGAUGGGGCAAUGGUUGAAAUAUUAUAUCUAUCUCAAAGAGAGGGGAGAUUCCCUUCAACUGUGUUGCAGGCUUGCAGCUGAUGCAAUUGUGGAUCUGGUGAGCUUGGCUGACGCAAGUAGGAUUAAUAAUUCAUUAAAUUUGUAUUUUCCUAAUUUUUAAUGUGAAUCAUGGAAGUUAGGGAUUAAUAUAAAAUUGAACAAGUUGAAAGAAUGACGGUGGUUUUCACACUUCUGUUUUCUUCUUCGACCCUCGUUUCCCUUAAUUUUCACGCUUGAAGAUAACGAAAUGGAAGAGAAAAACGUAGUUUGAUAACCAUAUUCUUAUUUUUCUUCUUACAAUAUGAUGUUCAAUUGUAAGUUACUCUAAUUUACAGAGAUACAACUCCGAGCUUGAAUGUCGAAGAAAGUUUCAAAUUCACAAGCAAGAAAACGAGCACACUAGUCUACCCAACUAUUCACGUUUUUUAUCAUAAUGCACAAAAGAUGCCCUUUUCUUGCAUUACAAUUUCAAUGUCGUACAAAAUAUGGUAAAAAAAGUUGUGUGCAACCAAACUAAAGGAUAAUGCAAUCGGCUUGUCACUUCUACCUCCAAUGCUUCUGCAAUCAAAAUGACCAAUUUGUCCUAGAUAUUUUAGGCGUUUGACCAGUGGAGGACCACUUUGACCACUAAUCUGGUAUAGCUGGACAGGGGUAAUCUUGGAACCUUCACCCUGGCUUCAUCGUUUGUAUAUAUUUCGGUAUCCAGAUUCCUCGGCUCGACAUGUGAGGGAGUCUGAUUACUAUGCAUGUGAGGGGGCAUUUUCGUCAACUCAAAAGUUUACAGCUGAUUUUGUUACUAAUGCUACCUUGUGUUGUGCUGAGAGUUGUCCCACAUCAGUGAGGGACAAUGUUUGCUAUGUGCUUAUAUGAUAUUGGGCUACUUCCAUAUUGUCAAUUGGUUUUAUGGUGAACCCCAAUUUCAUCAUGGUAUCAGAGCGGGUUGUCCUCGUGUGAAGCCAAAUGGUCACACGCGCUUCAACUCACCCAGUUGUUGUCCACGUGUACGCUUGAAAAUCCGCCACACGUGCGAGGGAGUGUUGAGAGUUGUCCCACAUCGGUGAGGGACAAUGUUUGCUAUGUACUUAUACAAUCUUAGGAUACUCCUAUAUUACCAAUUAAUUUCAUGGUGAAACCUAUUCAUCAUCGUGUUUCAGUUAUAUUGAAAAAUCUCUCUUUAUAUUGGGAGUUUCAUUUCCAUGGUGAUUGUGACCUCGUCAUGGAUCUGACCGUUCGUUAAAAAAAAUGGAAGCUUUUUGAAAUCUUAAAGCUCGAAAUUACUAAAAAAAGUACUGUGACAUUAAUAAUAAUUUACUAAAAUAAGUAAAAGCUAGAGUUAAAUACCUGAUUGGAGUUUGAGAUUAUUUUCUAGUACGUUCAGAUAUUUUUUUUGUAUAUUAAGAUUUUCUGCUAUUAAAUUUGUAGAUAGAGUUUAACCACAAAGAUAUAAUAGUUGAAAAUUAUAAUGUCACAAAAUGCAUCGAUACAUAGUGGAAUUUUUAAUGUUCGUGAGAUGUGAAAACUUGAAUUAGAAGGAACUGGUUAUUGGUAUUCGGGCACAUUGAUAAAUUUCUCAUGAAAUGACAUAGAAGGGAGUGGCAAGUUGGCAUACUAGCUGACACGGCAGCAGCAACAUCUACACAUGAUUCACACACUCAACGUCUUUCCUUGAUAAGAAAGAAAGAAAGAAAAAAAAAACAAAGAGAGAGAACGAAUAUUGCUCCGAGUAGAUAAUUCGUAAUUUUCCUUUUUAAAAAAAGCAAGAAUAUUGUUUUUCCUUGCGUUCCUAAACUUUUGUAGGAGUGCGCGGUCUAAAUUUGAUCGAGUUUAUUCUAAAAUUGAGGAGGAAUAAACGAUAAUUGGUUCGAUUGAUUUAGUAGAAAUUAACCAUUGCGGAAGCUAAACCAAAACAAGCUGAUUAAAGGUUUGUUUGAAAGUGUGUUCAAAAUAAUUGAAAUCGCCUUUGAUAAAAAUGAUUUUGGGUUCUAAAAACAUUUUUAAGUACUUGAAAGAAGCACCAUAUAUGUAUUUCUUACGAAAAACACUUUUUCCAAUGUCCACUUGGAUUUCAUAAACAUUUUCACCAAAAAUGCUUUUAAUCAUUUUAAAAGCGCUUUCAAACGAGCCCUAGUUUUAAAUGAUUUGUUCAAUUUGGUUUGGGCGGUUCAGGUCUAAGUCUGUUUCUUUUUGGCUCCAUUACUUACUGAAUUGCAAAAUUUACAUAUACAUAUAUAUAUAUAUAUAUAUAUAUUAUGUAUGUUGUGUUAAUAAUAUAUAUAGGGUUAAAUCUUCCAUUAACUAUGUUGUGUUAAUUAUGUGUCACUUAGUACUACGGUCUAGUGGUAUUCUUCUUCGCUUAUAAGUGAGAAGUCUUAAGCUCGAUUAUCGUCAAAAGCGAAUUUGAACCACAUUAUUGCUUAUUCAGAUUUUUUUUUUUUUAACGCAAAGAUUGAAGAGAAAUGCUAAGAGACUCUUCAUGAAUUAUUUGUCAUCUCAUAGAUUAACGUCAAUUUUUAUGUCAGAAUACAUAAAGAGUCUCACUUUUAACCGAUUUUAUUUAGCUAGCAUUUCUCAACUUUAUAUUUUGAGGUAGGGUUUUGUAAAACAGUAAGCCUAAUCAUAACUCGUGCAUUACCGCUUCCCACGAUUUUUUCCAUAUGCCUUUUUGCUAUUUCGUAGGCUUUUCUUUUGCUCUCUAUCUCCAUCUCCUUCUUAUUUUUUUCCUUUUAUAUAUUUUAUUUAUUGUUAUUUUCUAUGGGUUUUGUAUAAUUUAUACAUCUAUUGGUUGAGCAGGUCAAGGAGAAAGAUUUGCUUUGCUAAAACGUGAUCCCUUUUAUGCACUUUAAUUAGAGGCAAUCAAACAAACAAGAUCAUGCUUGAUUAGGGUUUUGACUGUUAAUCAUUGGGAUUAAGCUUGGCGUGCCAAAGGAUUCGAAAACGAACAAAAAAAAGGGGGAAAAAAGGAUCUCGCAGUGGACUUUGGAGAGGUAAUCCGAGGACCCAAUAGAUUCAUUAAGGAAAAAGUGAGAAUCAAAUCUCCACACAAAUCUUAACCCACUUUUUCCUUUGGAUGAUUAGAAAUGUUAGUGGAUUUUUGGAUGUCUUAAACAAAAUCAUCCUUAACUGUAGUUUUCCCACACACACUUGAUGUUGAAGUAUUGUUUACUUAAUGUGAAAAUAGAACUACAUGAUAUCAAAAGCUAGAGUUGUGUUAGCAGAAGUCGUUGUAUGCAUGUGAGUGGUUAUAAUCGAUUUAUACAUUGUACGAUUUGCUUGAUUCAGCCAUUGAGAGUCAGUACGAAAUCGAUUAGUAACAUCAUGCUAAAUGUAAUGCAUGAUAAGUAUAACAGUUGUAAAAUUUGUUAAGUACAAUUGCUUAUGCAUAAGUUAAUGAAUGUAUGUUGUAUGUCGUAAAUGUAUUGUGAGUCCACCAUGCAUUAAAAACUAGGGUCCAGAGUUAGGAAGCUUGUACGAGAGAUUCUUGACACUUUGCAAUUACAGACACUGACCCACUCUUAUCCAUUUCUUUGGGGGCACCAAUAAAGAUUUUUCCAUGCUUUGUGGUCCCAUCAUAGAAACCGGAAAAGGAUUCUCCGGAUCCUUUCCACCAAGUCCAUCAAAGCCACAAAUCUGGGCCUUUGAAAUUUGAUCUAAGGGUUACAAAUAAGGGCUCACUUCAAAAGCUAUAAUAACUUUAGCCGUUAGAUCAAAUUUUAAAGGCCUAGAUUUAUAGCCUUUAUGGACUUGGUGGAAGGAAUCCGAAGAUGAUCCAUUUCCAUAUAAACCAUACUAAGUACUUCCUCUAGUAUAACACUUGAGAGAGAAAAUAAUAUCGACUACCAUUUUCUUUUCCUGCACACACUAUCGAAUACAUGUUGAUCAGUAGUUUAUAUCUUUACCUUAACAUAAAUUAUGCAACAUGUGUUAGUCACUAUGUGCUAGCUUAGAAAUACCUUUAAAUGAUCGAAAACGUUUUUAGAUAAAAUGUUUUUUUUUGCAAAAAGCAUAAGUUAUGUGUGCUUCUUUUAGGAAUCACUUUAAGUUUUUUUUUAGGAUUUACUUGUUUUUUUACUAAAGAUUGGUUUAAAAAAUAUACCAAAAGUAAUUUCAGCUAUUUUAAAAGCACUUCUAAACAAGCCAUAUAUGUCUUUUGAAAAACAAAAUAACAUGCACUGAAUUACUAUUGUAGCAUCAAGUGAAAAUACGUGGUAUAAAGUUAGGCCAUCUCUAACCGAAGUGCUAAAUAUAGUCUCGUCUAGAAUUAUAGCCCUACAAAAAAUUAUUUUUAAAUAAACAGUGUCAGGUUAUAUAUAUAUAUAUAUAUAUAUCAUUUUCAACCGAAAUGGCUAAACAUAAUCUACUUAAUAAUUAUUAAUUUUAAGUUUAUACUUUAAAUUUACUGAUUAAUUUAAUCAAAUUACCGUAUGAUGUUUUUAAAUCUAAAUAUUAAAUUUGAAUCAAUUAUUACAGCAAAAAAGCUGAACCACAUAAAGGGGCUAGGCGUGGGCUACAUUUAAUCACCCUGAUACCUUGACUUUUGAAUCUUUAACCCUCCCUAUUGGAGUCGGUCUUAUCAACAUUGUUGAUUAUCCUUUCCAAUCUAAGCACGCAAAUUAUUUACCAAAAUCGUAAUUAUCAGCCACUGGCAUGGCCUUGAUUGAUGCGUUGGCAGAAGAAGUAGAACAUUCUGGAGUGGAGCUGUGUCUAGUCAACGGUCACAUCACGGAGUCCUGAACGACAUGAUAAGCUCUCUGGAUCCUCAUCCCUCGAAUUUAAUCAACAGGUGGCACCACGUCAACAAAUAAUCAUCCAAAUCACGCUCUGCCAUUUUGGACCAUUGCUCACUUGGAGCUUCAUCUAGGACCCCACGAUGGAAAAGGAUCCUCGGAUCUUUUUUCUGGGGAUUUGAAGAAUUUCGUAAUCAUGUUCGUCUAUCAUAUAUCGUGCAGUAAAAAAUUAUUUAAAAUUUAAAAUUAAAUAUAAAUAUUACUUAACAAAAAAUGAUCGCACAAUAAUGAACGGAUCAAAAUCCAAAACACACCCCCCCCAACACACGAUCACGCGGGAACUAACCCCCUACGUGGGUCCCUGUCGUUCCAUGCUUCAUGCAGUUUCCACAUCAUCAAUGUUCGAGAUUUUCAUGUGAACUGAAAAGGACCGGCUUUUCGGGCCGAAAUAUGGGUAAAAGGGCCGGCCUUUUAGUUUUCAACUGGAGCCCAACGGCUAUUAAUGGGCCAGUGGUCAUCUUUUAUUUGUACACUAAUUUAAAGAAAUUGACUCCAUUUUGUGAAGGCUUUGGGCUUUUUCUUUCAACGCAUAGUGUGGACUCAAAAUGCUCUAUUUGUGUUCAUUUUCGAUGUAUCUAAGUGAUAUUUCUCUUUACUUAUAAUUUUAUGUUUAGUUUUGUAUAUUAUGAGUUUGAUAUCAAUUAUUUAUAGCGUAAAUAAAUCAUAUAGCUUGUUUUUUUUUUAUGGUUUUUGAAAAAUGAUAGCAUUAGUAUGUUAAAUAAUGAAGAGGGAAUGGUGUGGAUUUGCUAAAAAUCUAAUGAUCGAUUUUUAUCAUUAUUUUUUUAUAUUAUCUAUUAGAGAAUUGAUUUCACACAUAUUAACCCACCUAUUGAAAAUUCUUGAUUUCCCUAACUAAAUGUUUGGACGAGAUAAAUAACAUUGAAAAUUUAAUAAAAAACCAGAAUUUAUAAAUUGACAUGCAUCAAUUUCUUUAUUUGGAUUUAUUAACAUAAAAUUUAGAUUUUUCGCAUGGACAAAGAACUAGGAAAUUGGGACCACCAAUUCCCAUGUUUAAAUUCCAUGUAGACAUGUGUCAUUUCUAAAUUUCUAUGAGUGAGAGUUUAAAAUAACGAAUUCUGUAUUCAAAUUUUAUUAUUUUUUUAUGUUAAGCAAACAAAAAAAUUUACAAAUCUUAAAAAUAAAAUCUCAUCAUUUCAAUUCCGUCAUUUUAAAAUUACUUUGUAAUCUUAAAUUUUCUGUAUUGCAGGCAAAUUUGAUAUCAUACGCACAGGCGCGUGGGAUUUCAAUAUCAUAAAAACAUCGAAGUAUAAAAGCCCCAAGUUUCUGCGUCGAGCACAAUCUACACCAAAACGCCCAUGGCCACCGAAGCUCCCGACUAUACCACCCGAUUUAUCGUCCCCGUUUCAACCCGACAACCCAAUUGCUCCACUCCGUUUUCGAAGCUCCUAUAUCGCGUCGAAACGGGUCAGUCCAACUCUCUCUCACACUCUCACUCCUAAAAUUCAAUGUUUAUUUUUCUAUGAAUUUUUGCAGUAAAAUUGGUGGAUUGUAGUUAAAAACCCUAAUUUGAUUGGUUCAGAUUCAGUUACUUGUUAAUAUCUGUUUAGAAGAACAAAUUUUAGUGCUUUUGGGAUUUUGAUUUGCAGGGGUGUAUUCAAUUGAGAAUGUGAGAAUUUUAAUAGAUUUUUAUGGAGUUUAAUUGAUUUGUAGAUAUUAUAUAUAAAAUUUUGAUUCAAUUCCUUGAAAUCUCACGGGAAGAUGUGAGAUUUGUGGAUGCUUAAAAUACACUACGAAAUCUCUUCAAUUCCCUCUAAUUCCUCAACUUUCUCAAAUUCUUUAAAAUCAAUUUCUAAUUGAAUACGCCUGGAAUGUCAUAAACUUCUUUAAAAUCCUAAUUGAAUACUCCCAGAUUUUUAGGGAUUUUAAUAAACUAUCUUAAAAUUCUAAUUGAAUACACCUAGAAUUUCAGAGAUUCACUUGAAAUUCUGAUUGAAUACCCCUAAAUUUAUUAAAAGAAUUAAAAUCCCUUAAAAUUCCAAUUGAAUACACCCCCGUAAUUGUAUCUAAAACCCACUAGGGUUUUGAACUUUUGAUGAAUGCCUUGCAAUUAAUCACUAGUUAAUGGUAAUUUAAUUCCAAAGGUAAAAACUUUUUGGAGUUUUUAUUUUUAUGCUCAGUAAUGAUGUGGAUUUGCUUGUAUUUUGGGAAUUUUCAUAUCCAUUUUAUCAUGCCAUGGAUUAAUAUUUGUAUAUGACAUGACCAGAAAGUUGAAGAUUGCAAGUGCUGCAGCCAUGACUGAUGCAAUUGAUUUAUCUGGGGAUGGCGGUGUUCUCAAGAAAAUUGUAAGGCAUGCAAAACCAGAUGCAGCUACCCCGACCCAAGACCUUCCGCUCGUUGAUGGUAUUGACUAUAAUGCCGUAGCUGAUUGUGUUUUUUCUGUUGUUGGUUUUGUGACAAUAUUUUCUGGUUAAGUUGGGUAUGAAAACAUUGCAACUUAUCUUUAGUUGGUUAAUAUGAUUGCAUACUUUAUGUUGGGCAGUUCAUUAUGAAGGCAUUCUUGAGGAAACCGGCGAAGUCUUUGACACGACGCACGAAGAUAAUACAAUUUUCUCAUUUGAGGUUGGGAAAGGCAGUGUGAUCAAGGCUUGGGAUAUUGCAGUGAAAACCAUGAAGGUCGAAAAACACGCUUAUCUUCAAGGAAAUUUUGGUAGUGUUAAAAGUGUCCUGUUACAUGUUUUCUCUUUUGUUGGUUGCAUCAGGUUGGGGAGAUUGCUAAGAUCACUUGCAAGCCAGAAUAUGCCUAUGGUAGUGCGGGUUCUCCACCAGAUAUUCCACCAGAGUAAUGUCAUUGUUCUAUUUUUAUGUCAAAAUUGUUUUUUAUGGACACUGGGAGUGCUAGUAGCUCCGUUAACUUAAAGAUAUAUUUACGCAUCGAUGUACCAAAACAACACUGUCCAGACUUAAUUCUUACCCAAACAUGGAUAGUAUAUGCUUAUUGGCAACUAUUGCAUCUUAGUUUAUGAUAUAAGAGUUAUUUGGUUGGUGAUCUUUGAUUUCAUAACUUUAAACCUAGAUAUAUGUUGAAUAGAUGUAAAAUUUCCGGAUGCAUGUUGGAAAGAAAAGUACAUAAACUCCGCGUGGUAAGACUUCUCCAGGAAGAGUCUUCACACGCGAGUAUAUGCCAAUUUGUGUGUUGAGUAUUCUGGUUUACGAUUGCAUCCAAGUGCUUGUAACAGUCUGCUUCAAUUUGCUUGGUCAAUUAUCUCGAUUUUCUUGUCACAAAUGGUCUCUUUACAAUGUCCUUGGAACUAAUGCAUUGUAUAUUACAAAUGAAUCCUGCAGUGCAACCCUUGUAUUUGAGGUGGAGUUAGUUGCUUGCAAUCCUCGGAAGGGAUUAAGUUUGGGUAGUGCUUCAGAGGAAAGGGCUAGGCUAGAGUAAGCUAUCUACUUUCAUCUUCUCCGCGACUUAUAUUCCAGAGAUAUACUGCGAGCCUUACCAUCGUCAUUACACUUUUUGUUGAUUCUGUCGAGAUCUACCAACUUUUUCAUCAACAGUAGGUUUGAUUGAAUUUUUCAUUGGUACUCACAACAGAGAGCUGAAGAAACAGAGGGAGUUAGCUGCUGCAAACAAAGAGGAAGAGAAGAAGAAGAGAGAAGAGGCGAAAGCUGCAGCUGCCGCUCGUAUUCAAGCCAAGUUGGAUGCCAAGAAGGGCGGAGGAAAGGGAAAAGCAAAAGCAAAAUAGCACUUAGUCGCAGACUCGCAUGUUUGAACGAGGUUGAUCCUUCUGAUCAAGUAGAUUCAAUAAAUUGGGUUUGUUUGAAUGUACUUUUAAAAUGACUGAAAGCGUUUUUGGUGAAAAUAUUUUUAAAAACAAUCCUUAAUAAAAAUGUUAGUAAAUCCUUAAAAAACACUUAAAAUGCUUCUUAGAAAAAGUACAUAACUGAUAUUUUUUGUACAAAGCACUUAAAGUGCUUUUGAUACCUAAAAAUAUUUUCUCUAAAAACAUUUUCGAUCAUUUUAAAAACACAUUCAAACGAGCCCUAAUUUAGUUGGACUAAUUUAGUUCGUGAGUCCGACUGAACAAACGAUGACCUUUUCCCUGGUUUAGUGUGUGCUAUAAACUUUUGCCAAACAUGUUUUGGAUCAAUAAAUCGGCCGUGGUUGGUUCACCGAAGGACUCAAGUUAGACUGGAAACUUCGAUUGUUGUCCAAGUAAGGCACACUAACUUCAACAACGUCCCUCGCAACGAGUUUGCCGAAGGCAGAAAACUUUUGGAGUGCUAUUUAAAAUAUACACAACAUGCUUGUUUUGAGGGCAUAAUAUUCAGCCAUUUCCAGUGCCUAUAUAUCAAGAUAAUUACAGCAAUGCCAAUGCUGGGCAUAACCUUUGAAUCGGAUCCAUCAUGUGCCUAACUAUGUAGGUGGGUACCCUACUUCUACUAGUUACACUUAUGAUUUAAACCCUGUAAGAGGCAUCCAUUCCAUCUUGUCCAUUUUCAUGCAACCCUGAUCCUGCUCGGAAUUUACACACCGGGCAGGUUCCCUGCUGCUUCAGCCAUGGAUCAAUGCAACUAGCAUGGAACUGCAGCAAGCAACAGCAAAAAAACACGAUAAUAAAAACAAGACUCCUCGAGUCUGAUUAGCUAGAGAUCAACUCUUCCGAUGAUGUGUUUUCAGUUCACAAUUUGCGUGAGUGUCACAGAGUGUCUGGUUAGGGAAUGUGUGUGCGUGUGUGCAGGGUCGAGAGGAACCAGAUGCAUUUUGUAGUUGGAAUCAAUCACACAUUUUGACUCGGCAUCACAAGAAUUUCUUUGCAAACAUUUUAGCGUAGCAAAAACUCCCUAAAAAUCGCAACUGAAAAAUACAGGAAGAUGGAAAAAAUAAGCCUAUGAAUGUCAAAGCACUGAAAAGAGAACCGAACCUGAUGCAAGCAUGGAAGGCUGCGGAUUAGUUCUCCCACAGUAACUUGCUCGAGGCAAACGCUACAAGUCAGUUCAUCUUCCAUUGCUUUUGUGCUCCCAACAGCGUCGACAGUUUCUUGCGUCUUCUGCAAAAUAGAUUAGAAAUAUACGACGGUACAGAAUAAAUGCAAUGCUAUCAUAUGAUAUGAGAUAAUAAUGUACGCAAGUUUCUUCUGUCUGUACUCAUACAAAAUGAAAUGCAGGAACAUCUUUACUUUUGAAGGGUGAAAAAUACAAAAGGAAAGAGGGGCAAUAUAUAGUCAAUACCUCAGAAGGUACUGAAGAUGAAGCUUGUUGCAUCGAUGAAGCGCCACUGCAUACAAAACAAAACCAUUAUAAAACAAACGUAUUCGAAAUGCAAAGGCUAAACAACUAUGAUUCAAUUCUUUUUUCAUUUGCCCCUAAAAUCUCUCAACUCUGUUGGUCUAUCUCAGUCACUCAACCAAAACAAAAACAACAACAAAAAAAUUAGAGAACUUACUUUUGAGGACCCACAGCCUUGUAUUUAUGGACUGGAAGAGCAUUUAUCUCUUCCUCACUCAUAGAAGAAGCUGCUGGAACAUUAUCGGAAUCCAGAGCUCGCAAAGUUUCAUAAUCUGGUAUGCAAAGAAGAGUAUUUACCAUAAACGUAAAGGCAUAUAAACAACUUUAAGAGAAAAAUCUAUGGUUUGGCUAAUAAAAAAUAUUGAUAGCCAUGUAUUGGGUUUCAAGAUAUAAAAAUCAUUUUAGACGGGAUAUAACUACCAACCUAGGUCAUCAAAUUCCCGGUCAAGAAGUGCAAGCUGAAGUCUGAGGCCUUGAAGGCGCCCUCUUGUUGCUAAGCUAAUUGAUGGUGGCAUACGCAACCGCAAUUCAGUAUGGCCAAGAAGGCCACUGGCUGCCGCUGCAUGAGCCUGUGCUUGAGCUUGAAGUUGUUGACAGGUUGCAUACAUCCUUAAUGUUGUAGCCAUCAAAAAGACACCAAGAACUAGCCACAGCUACAUGCAUAAGGAUGUUUAAAUUUCUCAUAUAACAACCUAACGAACAGCAACCUUGACCAGUAAAAGUAGCAAAACAAUUUACAUACGCUAUUAAGACAAUACCAGAAAAUUCGGUGACAUCUGGUGUGAGUUCAGUAUCAUGAAUAGCAAGAGAACUGGCAAUUUGCAAACAUAUAAACAGAAAUCAGAACCUACUAACAUAAUUACAAGACUAAAAGGACAAAGGAUAGGAUUAUAAGUACCUGUGACAAGAAAAGCAAGUGAGUUGGAAUUGACAGAGCGUGGUGGAUGAACACGCUGAUACAAAACAACCAAUAUCAAUAUAAAUUACACUAAUAACUUUGCCCCCUGUUUCCCUAGACAAUUUACAGAGACACUCGCCAUAAAUUAAACCCCAUAACUCACCCUCCACCCUUGCUCUCAAGGGGGAGAAGGUGAAAUUAGGCCCAAAGGGGAUUAGCAACUGCGAAAAACAGCUCAUAUUGCAUACACACUGGCCAUCGAUUAAACCAUGAAACUCAAACCUCCACCCUUAUUCUUAAGGAAUAAGGUAAAAUUAGAGCCAAAUGCAAUAGAAACUAACAACUAUAGCUAAGACCAUAUACAAAAUUUGUGAAAGACAAGAAAUGUACCAUUGCACGGCGCUCUGGUAUGAAUUCCGGGAACCCACUUUCGAUAUCCGCUCUGGUGCCCCGGAACACAAAACUCAUGUUUGUAGAGUUCAAAAGCCUUCUGCUGAAACAAUGAAGUCACUGACUUUCCAGUUCACAGAACCGAAACACGCAAAAAAAAGUAUGUAAACAUACAUUCAGUCAUUCAGUCGUCGUAACCAGUGCACAAGGCUCCCGUUUUACGCAGAGUCUGGAAGAGGUCAAUGUCGGCUAACCUUACCCCUAUUUAUGGAGAGGCUGCUCCCAAGUCUCCAAUCCGAGACCUACCGCUCAUGGGCGAAGGCACUUGCCAUCGCACCAAGGGCGAAGGCACUUGCCAUCGCACCAAGGGCGAUCUCUAAUUCAAAAACAAAAAGAAGCUAGUUUGACGCAAAAAACCUUACUCAAGAUUCCCAACUUACAUGCAGUAAAAACUCAACUGAAAUAACUAACAUCCAAUUAACUUCAAAUUCCUGAUACAAAAUCACAAUCAACAAAACCCUAAUCCCCAAAUCACCAAUCAACAAAUCCCUAAUCUCCAAAUCACAUUCCCUAAACUAUGCAAUUAACAAAAAAAUUUCUCUUUUGAGAAAGAAAAAAAAAACAGUAAUUCAGGUCGCAAUUGCAUGCUGUGAGAGGUGAAGAAUUACAGAGGCAGAUUGGAAGAAGCUUUCAUAAUUUAUGAUCAAGAAAAUUAAAGCGAUCAGAGAUUACGAGGAGACUGAGAAAUGCGAGGAGAUUAAAGACUUGCCGGGAAGAAACGACUUUGGAUUGUUCAGAUUACAUGAACCGGCAGCGUUUCACGACAACGCCGUGCAAACGUUUCUUCGGUGGAAGAAAGGGAGCGAGUUGGAGUGUGCAGAGAUUUGAGUCGACUCGGACGCGUUUUGCCGCGUGUACUCUGUUUGGUUAGUCUAAUAAAGCUUCUUGUUUUGUCUAUCGGGACUGUUUGGUUAGUCUAAUAAAGAGAUUAGUUCAAUUACUGUUUCGUCACGACGCCGUUUGUACUCUGUUUUUCCACUUUGGAACAUGGACUGUUACGUCAGGUAUCACAAUAUAAUUGAAUGAAAAAAAAUUUAAAUUUGUAUUGGCCCGUGUUCCAGCCCACUAAAAAAUCUCUCCAUUUCGAGAUUCCACAAUCAGCAUCCUGUCUUAAGCGCACCGUUCCUUCUUAUCCAUUGGAAAUUCAUUUUGCCCCCUAUAUUUGUUCUACACCUAUGAUAUACGGUAGUUAUUCCUAUUUAUGAACUUUACUGGAGAUGCUCUUAGUGGUACGAUUUAAUAAUAAUCAUUUCACUUGUAAGUAAAAAUAUUUCAAGUCUGAUUUUCGAGAAUAGUGAGUUCUCAACUAAUUUAUUCCAUCAUCUUCAUACGUAGAUAUAUCAUUGUAUAUAAAAAGAAAAUAACAAGUAAUUAGGUUGUUUAUUAGGGAGAGCAAGUUCAAUGUAAUAGGUUCAUCAUCACGUGGCGUUUCAAUCCAAUAACAUGUUAUAUAGAAAAAUAACUUAAACGUAAUAUCAUAUUAUUAUAUCUGAAUGUCACUAAGCGACCACGUUCCAUGUAAGUCUUCAUAUAGAAUUGCCAUUGCAUAAUUGACAAAAUCACAAUUCAGCCAAAUAAAUUGAAGUGCGAAAAUUGAUGUAUGGUUCUAUACUACAAAUCAAAUAAACUAAUUUUUUACAUUGCGGUACUCAAAGUUAGAAAGCAAAUUGUGCAAUCCCAUGAAUACUGAUUGAUCAGCAACUUUGUGCAGGCGUGAAAUUUUUUUAAACUAAUUGUUAACUCGAUACGAAACGAUACAAAAAUAACAGAUUCGAGUAUUAGUCGAGUCAUUAUUGGAUCAUACGUUAAUAUAAUGAGUAUUACAUGUAAACGACACAAAUACAACCAAUUUGUUAAGUCUAAACAUUAGACAUGAUAAUUUCAUGUAUAGCCCAUUAAGCCGACAUGAAAAGACAUGAACUGUUAACGAGUCAGUCGUUACCGAGCCAUUUGUUAAGAAUGCGUUAAAAUAUCGAGUUUGACACAACAUAAUUAAUUAAGAUAAUGAAUAUGAUUAAAAAACGACACGAACAUGAUCUAGUUGUCUAGUCUACCCUUCAUCAUCCACCUGGGUCCCACAGACAAUCCAAAAUCACCAUCGGAGUUGGAAUCUUGGGAAAUGGACACCGCACCCUCCUGCCCUCACUAAAAAAAAAAAAACUCAUUACCCCAACAGAGAUUCAGAGAAUCUCACUGUAAUACAAGUUUAAAAUUAAACUAUAUGAAAACCCAAAACAGUACCCCCAAAUUUAUGUUAAUUACCCAAAUUAUCCACACAUGAACCCAUAAUAUCUGAACAAAAUGGGCCACCUAUCUAGCACCAACACUAUGUUGGCCCCCAUCACGGUCCAUUAUAUGAGAAAGACUUACCUACGUAGGAUAGUAUUCUAAACUAAUAACAUAAGGUACAGACUGCGAUAGUAUUUAAAUCAAUAACGCGACGAGUUUUAAUAUAUUUUUUGUUAUGGUGCGUUAUUAAUUUGAGAUACCUUUACAAUAACGUAGUCGAAGGGUAAGUUAUUCUCGAGAAUAGACCCCACCAAAGAUUUGCCAGCUUAGAUCCAGCAGGGGUCCCACUUAAGCACCUAGAGACCAAGCUUUUGACUUGCAAGUUCACACCUAACCUCAGCCACUCCUACCCUAGACUUCUCCAAAUCAAACUCCAUCCACACGUUCUGCUGAUGAUAGUGACCAAUCACAAACGCCUCUAUGCCCAGCAAGUCGGAGUUCCCAUAUGUGAAGCAAUACACCUGAUUCCCGCCCCUCACCAUUCCCGGCACCCGAUACAGCAGCCUUUCCCCCGAGACGCUCAUCUCGGCCCCCCGAAACAUCAGCGUUACUGUCGGCAACGCGGGCAGACUCGGCCGGUUCGUCGGGACUUGGAAACACAAAUCGAUCGCUCCUUGGAACACAAAAUUCGGGUCGUUCAAAAUGUUAAGAACCGGUUUGGUCUGCUGAGUGAAUUCCUUUUUCAGCGCGGUGUAAACCGGACCGAGUAGGAACGUGAACUGGGUUCCCGAGUCGACCAUUGUUUGACCUGCCCCGGAAUGGUCCGGUACGAAAACGGACUUCGGGAGCGGUAACAACUUCCCUCCAACCCGGAUCCCCUCCAGCUGGACCGUGUACGCUACCCGGUCGAAGUACGGCAAUGGGGUUGAAAUAUGAACCAGUGGGGUGUAAUUUAACGGUUUGAGCCAAUCGAAUUUCGCUUCCCCGAAAAGCAAAACACCGGACGAGUCGCGACCCGAUAUGCAGUAGGAAAAUUUCGGAAAUCCCAUCUGUGUAACGAAGGACAAUGAACCGCGGUUCAUGCCCAUUAACCCGGUUGUCUUCGCGUCCUCUUCAGCGUUCGAACUGGACCCGGAAUCCAUGCACCCGAAUAUGGUACCGGGUUGGGCGGACGACCCGAGAUUGAAAGUUUCCCAUGCGAGGUUACCUUCGAUGGAGGAGGCGUCGACGUAGGAGAGAAUGGAGUGGCAGAGCUUUUUCGGGUCGCAAGAAACGGGUGUGGGGAAGUCGCGGGUUCGGGUCCGGCAGACGGGGGAGGAGCAGGGGACUGGGGAGUAGGACUUGGAGGCGAGUGGGUUGAAGACAGAGUUGAAGUUGGGGGCUUUUUUGCAGCGAAGCCACGAAAGCUCGCUGCCUGUGUCGAGGACCAUGGUGACUUGCUGCGGCGGAGAGCCGACGGAGAGGGAGAUUGUGAGGGUGACGUUGUGGUGGAAGGAGAGCUUGUUGGUGGAUUUUGGGAGGGACCCGUGUGGGAGGGUCUGUGUUUUGAGGGGCAGGAUUAGAGUUUCUGGUUUUGGCUCAGAGAAACAGAGGGUGGUGAGGAGUUGAAGAAGAAGGAGGGGGAGGAGUAUGGGCAUUGUUUCUGGUGAAAUUACGAAUCGGGGAACUGAAUUCGGACGGAAUGUAUGUUUUUUUUUUUUUUUGUUGGAGUUGGGGAUUUGAACGUGUUGGUGUUGCAGGGGAGUUUGAUAGAGUUUGUGGCGGGGUCUUUGUAUUUGUUAGAGUUUGUGGCGGGGUCUUUGUAUUUGUUGUAGGUGUGCUUGUGAAUGGGGCCGAAAGGUCCGCAUGAGGAGAAAUUUUCCAACGUUGCCAGAAUACGGGAUACAUCACAUAUCAUUAUAAAGUGAUAUUUACUUAAAAAAUAAAAUUUUAUUUCGUUUAUAUAAUGAUAUAUGAUGUACCAUCUGUGUUUCGAGAAUACUUAACAAAUUUUUGCUUGCGAGUGCGUGUGAGUGUGGUGUCUUGUAAGUGCGCUCUCUCUCUCUCUCUCUAUCUAAAUUUGGUUUAAGAUACUUAUUACAUGCAAAUCUCAUGAUUAUGUAUUUCUACCAAAUAAAAGUGAGAUGGCUAAGAAAAUAAAAGAGAUGUUACGCAAUCAAAAGUUCCGAUUUUAUUGCAAGGGUUUGUAAUAUUAAACAAUUAAGAACAUUUACUUGAUAACCGAUAUUUUCUGAGAUCAAAGGUGCAUUUGGUAAGCUCUUCCAAUAUUCCUUUACUUUACAAUCUAAUAAUCCUUAAAUGUACUACUUUUAUUUAUUUUUAGCUCAUCUCCCACCUGGUUGAGCUGCCUGAGAUCAAUGGUGCAUUUGGUAAGCUCUUUCAAUAUUCAUCUCCAAAGCCGAUCAGAUGCUUUCAUUCAUAUUCCGUCUAAGCUCUCAUAAAAAAUUUGUAUUCAAACAUCCCUCACGUAUAUAAUACUUUUACGAUUGACAGCUUGGUUUUUGCUCUUCUACUUUCUAUUGCUUGGUGAACAAUUUAAAGGUCGAAUUAUAUUCUGUAAAAUUAGACAGCUGCUGUUUUUUCAUUUGCUUUUCUUUUGCUUGUUGGUUACGAGCCAUGAAUAUAUAUUAGUGGCUGGACUGUGCUUAAUUCUUUUCUUUCUCGUUGAUUAAGCUUCGAAUCCAACAACCCCAAAAAGAGGAUUAAAAUUGAAAAUAAUUAUUCAUCUAUUACUACUCCAUAACAAUCUUGUUCGUAAAUAAAGUUUCAAAUCAAAUCUCCUUAUGGAGAAAGCAUCACCUCAAUUAUGCUCUGAUUUCCUUCAAUUUUUAGUGUAAAUUGCACUAAUUUUUUUUUUUUUUUACAAAAUAUAUUGCACUAUUUUAUUUUACAAAGUAUAUUGCGCUAAUUUUGGAAUUUUAUUUCCAUGAGUCAAUGAUUUUUUUUAAUUUACAUUUAUUUUGUAUUUUUUAUUGCUUUUUCAGAAAUAGUACGAUACUCAUUAUAUUAGUGAGUGAAUCAAUACAAACACGGAUAGGGUGUUCGAUAAAAACACAAAUAGGUGUUUUUUACGUGGGUUCAAUAACGACAGAUGAUCUCUCUAGCAUUUUUUUAUUGGGAAAAUUUGAAUUAGGUCUAAUUUUAUAGGCUUAUUUUGAAAUAGGUUCAAUUUUUAGUUACUUUGGAUGUAUAUCAAAAGACCCAUUUUUAUUUAUAUCUCUAGCAUUAUUUGUUAUUAAUUUGAGUCUCGAUUUCUUUUUAAUACAUCAAUAUUUUUACACUAAGCGGAGAGGGAGUUCGGCUAAGUCACACAAUGGGCAACCUAAUUUGGUAUCGAAUUCGCAUCUACGAAAUUCAAACCUAAAACCUCUCACUUCCAAAUGAAGAGAAAUAUCAUUAGACCGUAGUACUGAGUGGUGAGUCUCGACUCUUAAACCUUAUUACUAGACAGUUAUUUGAUUAACUAUUAAAAAUGUAAUUAUUUUGAACCAAAAUAUUAGACCUAGUCCGAGUGCAACUUUGGGUUUGGCUCAAAAUGAAGACGGCCGGUACCCACAUCUAUUCUUAAAGUCCAGCUUAGGAACAAAUGGUCGAGUCCUAAUCAGUAUUUAAUUCGUUGGGGAUCAGGAUUGGAUCCGGUUGAGUCCGAAUGUGAGUGAGAUUGUUAAGGAUUAGAAUGAACAAUGAUAAGGUUCGUAAUAUCCGGCUAAUCAUUGUUCAUAGCUGAUCAAGAUCUAGAAUGAAUUAAACAUGAAAGAGGGCUAGGUUCAAAGUCCUAAGUCUAGUAGGAGUGGCCGAGCUUUACGCAGAGGUUAGGAUGGUUUGGUGUCGAGGAAGUACAACCCAUAUAGGAAGCUACUACGACAUGUUGUAUUAACAUGAAAAUCAUUCCUAUAAAUUGAAAAGGUUCUACAACAUUUGUUGGACAUUCAACAUAACACACAUAUUUGCCCUGCGCAAUUUAUUGAUUUAUGCGAAACCCUUUCAUCUUUGAGAUAACUCUGACAUUUCUAACUUAGUCAAGCAUAUCUUAUAGUUUGGAUAAACAACAUUGUGGUUCACAAAUGGCGACAUCCUACAGUUUGGAUAAAUAACACUGGAACUAUAUCGUCAAAUAACACUGGAACUAUAUCGUCAGGCGAUCGAUCAAUGCCUCACAAUUUGGAUUAACAGCAUUGCUCCAAGUUCGGUUGACUAUCUAUCCAAAUCUGUCAAUAAGGGAUCUCUUAGUCCUUGUUCAAAUGGGUCAUUUUAUUAGUCUCUCAGCAAGUGAGGUUUUACCAAGUUACAUUGUUCGGUACAUUAAAGUCGAACCCAUUUUAUGAUUGGAUAUUCACAAGUGCAUUUUAGAGUUCGACACUCCAACGACUGAACUACAUUUACGAUCAAGACACUUAACUCUUUUGAAUAUUUGUGUCCAUACAACAUGUUACUGAUUCAAUGCACUUAUAUUUUCACAAUUAUAAUUGGAGCAGUCGAGCCCCGUGCAGACGAUCCUUUAACUUCGCAGUAACUGACAACCUUGUCCUCAUGCUCUAGAACCUAAAGGCCAAGACAAGUUUCUUCCUUGGCCAUGAUCGCUCGGAUAAGGAGUCAGCAACGCGUUUAACACCACCACCACAGCCACAUUCAUUUACUCACCGACCAAGUUUAGUCUACCAAUUGGCACGUCACAUAUUCAAUCGAAAUACAUAGUUAGCUAAUUAGUUAUUCGAUAUGCGCACCACAUAGGCUUAGUUGUUUUUAAGCUUAACAGUAUUAUACUGCCACCGGCAUUGAUAUUAAACAAAUGUUGAAAAUUUCGGCAUACAUGUAAACUCUUGACUUUGGUCUUGAAGGCAGCUGCCCCAAUUACUGUUAUCAGUCCAAAUGUCACUCAAAACCUUUUACUUUAAUCAGAAAUGCUUUAUUGCAUGCCAGUCUUGACUUUCCAUAUACCAUUUUUUCAUUCAGUCAAUCUAACUUCUAUAAUUUAGACCCUCGUCAAUCAUUGACUUAUUAUUCAAAUUUAAAUUUUAAAUACAAAUUCUAACACGAUAAAUUAUACUGUUAAAUUGUUAAUCUUGUGUCGUCUAAAUUCAAUUUGAGUCACUAAUACUAGCAGUUUCAUUCCUAUUUAUUCUUAUGUUCUACAAUCUUUGAUGGAAAAUGUUUUUCAUUCUAAAUAAUCCAAAUUUUCUGUAUUUAUCGAGAAUUGAUCAAUGAUUAGAGUACCUAAUUAUCCACAAAAUAAAGAGUGAUGACUCAUGCACUCUAAUCUCAUCUAAAACCUUGAAUACCACUCAACUAAUUUGCUGGUUCCGACAAAGAUAAAAUCUUCAAAUAAAUUUGAAGCACACCUAAUACCAAACAGACACAGACUGAAAUGGAAUCGUGUGGGUUCUCUGAUGAGAUCACAAUACUAGCCAUGCUUUGACAGGAACGGUGACAAAACUAAAUGUCUCACAAGAAAGAUAUAGCUGCGAGCCUGUGGUGAAAAUCUUUAGACCUAAUAGUUUGAAGGCUUUCAAGUUACAUGCAUAUAUAUUACCAGUCGUCAAAGCACUCAAGCUUCCAUGGCCAACCACAUAUCCCUGUAUGCGUCCAUUAGCUCAGUUACCCUAAGGGACCAUCUUCAUUGUCAAUGCCAAUAAAAGAGCACUCACUUUCUAGGGUUUGAAGUUUUCUUCGUAGAAUUAAUGGCAAAAAACCAAACAUUAUUAGCAUGCAUGGACAAGUUGAUCUGGAAAUAUUUCAAAAGUCCCCGACGCCUUUAUUCCUAGACAGUGGGACAAAGAUUUGGCACACGUAAGUGGUGGAAAUUUUGGUAUACAAAGUGAGAAAAUUUUAGGGAACUUCACUAUUAUCCAACUUUUCAUUUCCCAUAAUUAUCUUGCAUGUUAUGAUGUUAAACUAGGAAACAGGACGGUUUAAUUUUUUACAUGAUAUUGAACGUAUAGCUACUGAAUAACAUGUAUCCGACAAAAAAUUAACUCUUUCCACAAAAAUUAAAUUUUCUUUUAUAUUAUGAGGAUACAAGCUUCUAGUAUCCAUUUUUCAAGAAAAAGAACGUCAAGUCUACAUAUGUGAAAAAUGCUUUUGAUUAAUUGUUCUAGUGGAUUUGAGGUCACUAAAGAUAUUAUCAAAAGAAAAAAUGAUAGUUUUGUGAUUGAAUAAUGAUGAUUAGCUUUAACAAGACCAGAGAGUUGGAGGAGACUGAAGUCAAUAUAAUAAACAAAUGAAUCGGGUGUGCUUUCUCAAUCAAUCUCACAAACUCAAGGGGCCGGAGAGGGAAGGUAAGUUGCAUGCAAAGUUUUCAUAUACGUACGUGACGUGAGUUGGAUUCUUUCACAGACUCUGUUGCAAUUUUCCAAGUGCAAACGCGGUUUGACAAUCGGCACCAACUUAUUUUGUUCUUUUUCCAAGUUUUGUUACUCAGCCUCAGCUGUAUGUUGUGUUAAGAGUAAAUCUUACCACAGAAAGUUAAAAAAAAUUGCAUGGGUUUACUUUGCAAUGUAAAUUUUAGGGUAAAAUCUCGAAUAUUUUUUUAUGAUUUAGAAUAGGUUGUCCAAGCUAAGUAUAACGUUAUCUCACUCAUACGUGAACGGACGUAUUAAAAGUGUGACUCCUACAUCGGGAUCUCUCUCAUUAUUUCCAAUUAAUUUUAAAUUUAAACUUCUACUAAAAAAGAUUUCUCGGAACAAGAUUAAAAAAAAAAAAAAAAGACAAACAAAUAGUGUUACAUUAAAUCGCAUCUUCAUGAAGUGUUGUGUUGCAUGGGAGAAAUAGUGUUACAUAAAUAAUGAAAGUGUAGAGCGUUUGCCCACUAUAUAUAUUUUUAUGGGGUCGUUGAAAUUAGGUUAAAAAUAUUUGGCCCAACUUAAAAUUAAUUAAAUACCCACAUCAACCUGCAUAUAGCCACGACUUUGACAAAGUAAUUAGCCGACCAUAUGGUGUCCACCGUCUUCAACCUACACCUUUUAGAUAUUGCAGUGUACCAUGUAUGUUUUAUUUAAUUUUUUCAAAAAAAGACUGGCUGGUGUCUUCGUUUUUUAGAAAUUUGAAAGAUUUGAAGAGGCAUUUUAGCUUCUUCAUAACCACUAUUGCAUGAUUUACUAGUAACAAAAAUUGAAUUCAAAAUAAAUUUGUAGAAUGAACAUUUUUGUUUCGUAUAGCAUGAAAAUGAGAUUCGAACUAUGUCUUUAAAUAUUGAGAAAAUACAUAAUAAAAUUUUUUAAAAAAUCGUUUAAUGGAUAAGGUGGAUUGAACUUUUUCGAGAAUAAUGCUUGAGAAAUAAAAUUUUGUAAAUCAAGUGAUAUGAAUGUUAAUUAUUAAAUGAUUAUUUAAGAGUGAUUAACAUGUUUAUUGUUAUAGCCGGGGUAUUGAGUGCACCAAUAAAUAUUAAAAAAAACUAAUGAAAAGAAUUUAAAAACUUUGAGUUUUAACGAUAAGGACAAAAUGAAGACUAAAUUGAAUAGUACAAUAUUGACUUUUUAGUGUAAAAAUGUGGUUUUUCGUUAAAGUGAACAGUACCAGGAACUUUUUGUUAAAGUUCUCAAAGAAAAAUUAAUGAAAAAUACUUGAAAACUUUGAGUUUUAACGAUAAGGACAAAAUAAAUAGUAAUUUGAAUAGUUGUAACAUGGAGCUCGAUGGGACAGACUCAAAACCGUGUCUUGACGUGUCCUAAUCAACCUUGCAUAAGAAGUUUUAACGAUAAGGACAAAAUAAAUAGUAAUUUGAAUAGUUGUAACAUGGAGUUCAAUGGGACAGACUCAAAACCGUGUCUUGACGUGUCCCAAUCAACCUUGCAUAAUAUUGGAAGGUCACAAAUCGAGAAAGGGUUGAGGGCGGAUGGGCUAACUGUCUUCUUUUGGGGUAUGAGAAAGGAUAAAGGUUAUGGGUCGACGUGGGGAAUACUCUUGGGCCAAUUUCUAUAGAAGUAAAAGAACAGAGAAGUGAAAGCAGAUAUUGGGAAAAAUUGAACCUCUUAGGCAUUCAUGUGCUGAAUAAAACAAAAAGUCCAACAUCGAUUAUCUUACAAAACAAAUUACAACUUAUAUAGUAUGGUUCUACUUUUAAUUGUAUUGAAGUCUUUUGCAUAAAAAACUCACACCUAUUGAUUGCAUAAGCAAUUAAGUGUGGACAAUAUCGAUACUAUUAGUGGUGGACUGCGGUUUGUCUCUCUGAAACUUUAACAUAGUAUUAGAGAGGGUUUUCAGAUCUUGCCCAAAUUAUUGGGUUCACUUCCAAACAUGACCGAUGUGGCUCCACGUUUGGCCAACUCCAAAGUGGUCUGACGUGUUGAAUAAAGCAAAGACUCCCAUGCCAUCUUACAUAACAAAUCACAACUUAUAUCAAAUGGUUCAACUUUUAAUUGCAUUGAGAUCUUUUGCAUAAAAACCUACACCUAUUGAUUGCACAUGUGAUUAAGGGGUGGUUUGGGAGUGAGGUGCUUAAAAAAAAAACACCCAUAAAAAAAAGCUGUGAGGAUUUUAGGUGUUUGGUAAACUAAAAAAAAAUGCUUAUUUUGGAAGUUGCUGUGAGAAUAAGCUGAAAUCAAAGGAAAAAGCUGAAGCUGCUAUUUGCAACUUUGGAAAACUGGUUUUUUUUCAAAGCACACAGAGCUACAGUGCUCCUUUAAUGAAAAGACCCACCAUCAGACUGCUUUUUUUUUCCAAAUGAACUUUUACAAAAAAGUUUACCAAACACUCUGCUGAUUUAUUUUACAACCGCUUAUUCUUACAUCAGUUUUUUUUCAAAGUACAGCAAUACCAAACCAGCCCUAAGUGGGGACAAUAACGAUGCUAUUAGGGUCACCAUGACUUGUCUCUCUAGAACUUUAAUAUUUUUUUAUAUAUUGAUAUUUUUACACUAAGGAGAAUGGGAGUUAGGUUAAGCUGCACAAUAGACAACCUAAUUUGGUAUCAAAUUCGUCAUCCACGAUAUUCGAAUUUAAGACGUAUUGUUUCCAAGUGAAAAUGAAUACCAUCAGUUGCAUGAAAGUUUUUAUGUAACACUAAUCUUUCAACUCCUGUCUACAAAAAAAAUAUAUCUGGUAAAAUUCAUGGACUCUCUAACUCAAAAUAUCUGAUUCUAAAAUGUUUUCUCGGCAUCUAAGCUUUCAUGUUGUGGGGUUCGUAUUUUGCGGGAAAGAAAGAACUGAAACAAAUCAAAUCUGAUGAGGAUCGAAUCAAAUCAAGUUCCAAAUCCCUCCAAGACAUUUACCGGUUUCGGUCGAGACACUGUUCACACCAAAAAGGUACACUACACCCGGCAUGUGCUAUGAUUUGCUUCUUCGCAACUCUAGACGACCAUUUUGUGUAUUGGUUUCGUAGUCAACUAUGCUAGCAAGGUACUUGUCUAAAUAGGGUUUGGCAACAUUCACAUACGAACACUGUCUGAACCGUUUAUUAAUCUAAUAAUUCAGAAGUGUUCGUAUGUCAUAUCCAUUCGGAUGCCGAAAUUUCCCAAAAAUGCAUGAAUCAAGAACUAGAAACUAGAGUAUAUUGCAGGAGAGAUUCUCUUUCAAUACCAAUGUAUAAUCUCAUUGGCAUCGUCACUCCGAUGAAUGUUACUGCAUGUUCAAAACUUACUUUAAUUAUUCAAUAAAUAUUUGUCAUAUGACGUCAUCGGUUACAUGAUACUGCAAUCAUUCAUGACAUGACUUGAAGUGAGUUUUCGCGAUUGAAGGAGAUAGAGAAAGGAGGAUGCGUCUGUCCGACAUUUCUCCAACCCAAAAGAGAGAGGGUACAGAAAAGGCUGUAUACCCAGCUCGCCUAAACAGUAGAAAGUGACUUUGUAUUUCUACCUUGGAUACUGAAAGCCUUGUCUUUUUUCCUCUGUCACCGUCCAUUUAGAAUUUAUUGGCAUCUGGCAAACGUAGCAUCAAUCUUUGCGACUCAUUUGGAACACACACGAAAUGGCAAAUACAAGAAGAAAAAACAACAGUUCCGAUGUGAACUCGGCAAAAGCAUUAUUUCGGAAUGAUUCGUUAUUGCGAUUCCAAGCAAUUACUUUCCUCUAAGCAAUGCAAGAACUAUAUUGUGACAUACAUUUAAGGGUACAAACUAAUUCCGAGUCCAAAUAAUUCUGAAAACAUUUCGUCCGAUUCGAAUCCAAAAUCGGUAAUUCUUAAAUUCAAAAAAAUGGGGAAACCAUAAAAACAAUUUGUAUAGGAAUUGAAAUACAUUUAGUAUUUUGAAUUCGAUCUGAAAUUUCAAGACUUGCAUAACUCUAGUACACACUUAAUUAUUUACUUAUUGACUUUGUACUUAAAUAAGUAACUAUCUUUUUCAAUUACAACUCCCUUGAAUAUAUUACUCCCACAAAAAAAUAGAGAACUAUAAAAUUUUAUGGUUGCAGAGAGAGCCAUGGGAUGAUAUAUUUUUUUCCUCUUGGUAAAACUCCCAUAAUUUUGAAGUGAAAUAAUCCAAUUUCAAAAAUACCAAAUUCGACACGAGUAUAUGGAAUUCAAAAUUUCGAUUCUGAAAUUGAAAUUGAUACGCGUUUACACAACUUUUUGAAUUAGAAAAGAGGUGAAUUAUUGAACCGACAAGUCAGUACAGUUAAAUGAUAUAUAUAUAUAUAUUUUUUUAACAAACGAUAUUAUACAGAUAGCUCCCGUGGUCCGGACUAAUGCCUCUAUUAGGCGAGGACAACCUACACUAAAGGGAAGGCGGGAGGUUUGACCUUACACUGCUAAUAAUAAUGAGGCUAACUUUAUCUCCGAGGAAUUGAACUUAAAACCUUUCAUUAAAACCUCUUAUUUACAUAUUAUCGUAUAAGCAUAAUUCCCCGGACAAAAAAAGCAUAUGGCCUACAUUUUCCACGUCACCAUCUUACAAUCCCGCUAUCCACCUCCAUAGACCAAGUCCUCCGCCCCCUCGGCGUCGAAGUCUCCGUCGGUUCCAAUUCCAUAAACCUCACUCUUCUACGACUCGUCGAUGGUGGCGGCAUCGGCGUCCCCACCCUCAUCUCCGAACCCGAACUCGAACUUGCCGACGACGACACACCCCCGCUGAAACAACCAAACAGAUUCAUGAAAAAUCUCCUCAACCCACCGCUCUGUCUCCGUCUUCCUCCAUUUCUUGACCACGAAAUCCUCCUCGCAGCUCCGCCGCCGCUAAACCCGCCGUCCAUCUCCGUAUACACUACCGGCAUCUCUCUCUCGGCGCCUCUUCUCCCCCCACUAAAUCUCCCCACCGCGAAUCCGCCGCCUGGCAGCCUCCAGAUCGUCAGACCAGCGUUUUCGUCCUCUUCCUGACCUCGACCCUGACCCGUAUCGGGCGUCGAAUCGGCCGGUAGCUCGUGCCUGCAUACCGGACAUGAAUUCCGGAGCGUAAGCCACGGCAGUAUACAAUCGGAGUGGUAUAUAUGCUUGCAGGGCAUUUCCUGAGCUUCGGUGUUAACUUCGAACGGUUCUUUACAAACGGCGCAGUGAUGCCCCGCCGUUAUGUGAGCCUCAUCGAGCUUGAUCGUCGGCAUCGACUCAAUCGCCGACUUCGACGCCGGUCUCUGCUCGCAUCGCCCGAUUCCAUUGAUUUCGAACUGCGAUAGCUGUUCAAGUAGGCGGUCGAACCUAGACCCGAGAAGAAACUCGGACAUGCUUGUAGGCAAGGGUCGGAGCCCCGAGCCGCUACCGUCGUCGUAAAAGAGCUCAUAUCCGCGGCCUUCCUCGGUGGUGGCGGCGCCUUCGGCCGUUGUUCCGCGGAGGACGAUUACCGGAUUGAACGGCGAGCGGUCGCCGUUGUUUCGUCUAACUCUUCGGGGGGCGGACGGAACCGAAGCGGUAUGAUCCGGACUGGAAACCGAGCGGUUGUUGGCUCCAAUCAUGUACAUCGAGGCAGCUGAAAACCUCCUGCUGCGGCGCGAGUCCACGUUUCCGGAGGAGGUCGGGUUGUCGAUCGCCUCUACGAAGCCACUCUCGCAGUCCGAGCACACCACUGAGGAGGAUAGGGCGGAGGCGGUGGAGACGUCGGCGUCGUUGAAAACCCUAACGAAACGCCUACAACUGUAGCACCAGUAAGACGGCGUCGCCGCGGACAUGCAGAAGAUCAAUCAACCCUCCCUCAAUCGGAAAACAAAACUCCGCCGUUGAAAGUCCGAAUCGGAACGAAAUUCGAUCCGAGAAAAUGCGAAUCUUCCCAAUCGUAAAUUAUUGUUUGGGAGACGGGAAAAUGGACAAUAACCCCGAGAGAAAAUUUUGUAAAGGUUUUUUUUGGGGAAGGCCAAAUUUGAUAUUUUGCGUGUUGAAAAUACGAAGGCAGAAAGAUUUAUGGACGUAUUAACGGCAAAACCGCGUGGUGAGAACUCUCGCAAGUUUCUGACACGUAACGACGUUUAGUCAGCGUUAGAUAUCAGUCGGUCGAGUUUUGGAGGAGACGGCGCGUUUCGAGGAUGAAACGGAACGGAGUUUCAGAAGCCGCGGGAAUAGAGGCCUGCGCCGAGCCGGCACGAAAUCUAUAGGCUUGAAGGUUUCACAUUGUUCUAAACAGUAAACUGGUUGACGUGGCGAGACAUUUCUUAACUGGGAUUUUUUUUUCUUUUGUUAUUCUAUUUAUGGGGAAAAGGAGUUAUUUCUGGUUUUUUUUUUUGGUGGAAAAGUGUAAUUUCAGUUGGAGUACACAGAAUAUAGUUAGGUAAAUUGAAACGUAUUAAAUUUCUCUUGUAAGAUCCAUUCAUUAUUCAUUUUGUAAUUUCUCUCAUAAGAUCAUUUACACGCAUUUGAAUUUGGGUUUAAGAGUGUACUUGUGGCUGAUACUGUCCAUUUAAAUAGUAAAUUGUGAACAGUUACUGUCGUAGCUGUUUUUUUUUUUUUUAUCAUACUUAGGGCCUUCAUAUUUAGAUCUCGUAUAAAUACUCGAAAAACUCAAAUGUAAUUAUGUAAUAAAUGAAGAGGCAAAUAUAUAAUAAGUGAGAAACUCUUAUUCUAUAAAAAGACCCCUCACUCUCCUCAUUAGUGGAGGCCAAGAUUGAAGCCAUGGGAAGAGAGCACACAGAAAAUAGGCUAGAGAGCACACUGCCUCUAGCCUUCUUGUAUAUUCACCAUUCAGAGUGAAACAAUAUCAACAUCAGUGUUGACGUAGCCCAAACAUUAGGGUGAACCACGAUACAUCUUGUGUUCUUUAUUUUCUUACAAAUUCACGGUCGGAUUUACGUUGCUCCAAGACCCUUCCAGUUUUGUGCAUCAACAUUUGGCACCGUAUGUGGGAAUCGACACGAAAAUUUAUGUCGGUUCUCUCUCAAUUUUUCACCUCCGUCAUGAAUCUGCAAAAACAAUUAAAAACCCCAAAGCUGAAAUCUCCGCCACAUUGAGUAGGGAAGGCUGUGAAGGCAAAAGUCCAUCUCUGUCUCUCUGUUUCUUCCUUCAUUCCAAUGGUUGCAGUCGCUCUCAGGAACCUUGGGUCCAGGCGCAUCCUCCCAUACUCCUCGCAUAUCUACUUGUGCGGUCGAUGAUCGAUCGUCGCUGCCGGUUCUUCGCAGCUACCCCUGCAAGUCGAUCCUGAAAUGCAAACUUGUGAGCAAAAACGACAAGGACGACAUCAAAAACAACUCGGCCUCCUCCUCCGCCGUCAUGUGGGGCAUUCCCCUUCUGGGAAACGACGAAAAGGCCGACGUCGUCCUCUUUAAGUUCCUCCGCGCCAUGGGUUCCUGCUGCGGUUCCAGAUCCAGGCCACCUCACCGUCAAAUUCCAAGAUUCAAGCCUUCAGACAUUUCCUCCAUCUGGGACACAAGGGAAGAUCUCUGGUGGUGCCCUCCCUCCUCGUGAUGCCGAUGACACAUUUUCUAAACCUGUAUCUGGUUCUGAUGAACCCCAGCAAGGUGGUUGGUUACGGGUAUUCUCUGGAGCUUUUCUCACUCCAACGACUCUAAAACUGGUCUGCACAAAUGGGCCCUCCUCUAAAAGCCAAAAUUCAAGCUUUCAAUUCUCAAAUGGGUUCUUUUCAUUUUCUUCUCAUUGGCCAUUUCUAGCUCAAAAGCUCCCAGUCAGAAUCGGAAGGUCGGUGAUUGUUUUUGCAAAGAAGAACAUCAAUAAGGAGAAGAAGAAAGAAGACAACCACAACUUUGCAUCGAAACCGGAUGAGGCCACUGGGCCUUUCCCUGAAUCUAUGCUGCUUAAACAAAAGAAAGUUCAGGAAGAUGGUAACCUUCUCCCUAAGUUUGCAGAUGCCGAAGAAGAUAAGGUGUAUGAAUUUUUUAAGCUUCAGCUGCAAAAGCGAUUUGAAUGAGGAAUGAAUGCGCACUAUGAGCUGGUUUAUCUGAUUCAUGAGAAACAUGCCGAAGAGGUUGGGAGUGUCAAGCAAGAAAAUCACGUGAGGCAGGAAAAGCAAGAAAAUCAUCAACCAUCUUAGCUCUACCCCCAGCACAAUUGUGAAGAAAUCCAUUUUUUUUAGAAAGCAAAAGUGGAAUAAAGGAAAAAGGGAAGAAAAGGAAUACAGAAAGGAAACAGCCAGGAUUAUACUCUUGCUUUUGUCGACCACCAAAGAAGACGCCCACACUUUCAUCAUGCAUGUUCCCAUUUUGAAAAACCCACCCGGGGAACAUGCAAAAGUAUCAAAGUAUGAGAGACCAUGCUUGCUGACCAAACCUGCCUUCACGUGAAGGUUUCUUCCAAUAGUUGGACUGCUGAGGUUGAUGUGAAGGGAGAAAUCUUUAUGUUGCCAAGUCCCAUCAAUUUUUCUUUGAAUGAUGUGAUUUACUUUUCUUAUCUUUUGGAGACAUUUGUAUAAACCCACCAGAGGGUAAUAAAAAAAAACAGCAAGCCCAAAAUAAUAGGCUGGAAUGUUAUGUGGAGGGCAAAUACCCAUAUGCCAAAAAGAGCCAGGCCCUCUAUUAUCACCAACCAAGUGAUCAAAAGUACGUCCAGUACUCCAAAAUUAUUCAGCAACCUGCCGCUAUUAUCACCAACCAGGUGAUCAAAAGUACACACAGUACUCCAAAAUUAUUCGGCAGCCUGCCACUUUUAUCACCAACCAGGUGAUCAGAAGUACGCCCAAUACUCCAAAAUUAUUCGGCAGUCUGCCACUAUUAUCACCAACCUUUGGUAGCCUGCCGCUAUUAUCACCAACUAGGUGAUCAAAAGUACGUCAAGUACUCCAAAAUUAUUCGGCAGCCUUCCGCUAUUAUCACCAACUAGGUGAUCAAAAGUACGUUCAGUACUCAAAAAUUAUACAUGAGCAUCACUUAUGUCAAAUCAUACAUAAACAUUCAUGAGCAUCACUCAUGUCAACAUUUAUGAGCAUCACUCAUGUCAACAUUCAUGAGCAUAACUCAUAUAAACAUUCAUAAGCAUCACUCAUGUUAAUCAGCUUCGAAAGCUUCAUUUACGAAGCUCCGACUUCAAAGCUUCGUUUACAAAAGUUCCAGCUUCAAAGCUUCACUUUCAAAGCUUCACCUACAAAGCUUCAGUGCAUGGUAUACAAAGACCGCAUCCGAACAACCGCUACUUUGGCCCAUACAUGGAUUAAAUUUGAAGUCUCCAACCAACAUACUCUAUUGACUGAAGACUUGGGGGACUACACUAUGUACUAUAUAUUGGGCUUCCGUAAUUGGGUCUCAUGAAAAAUACUUAGGGGAUUUAGCCCAUUAUUUAUGUACUGAGGAGCGAACCCUUAUUCUAUAAAAGGGAUUCCCUCACUUUCAUUAGAGAGCACCCAUUAUUCACGUAUUGAGGAGCGAACCCUUAUUUUAUAAAAGGGACUCCCUCACCUUGAUUAGAGAGAGACUCUUAGCCCAUCACUUAUGUAUUGAAGAGCGAACCCUUAUUCUAUAAAAGGGACUCCCUCACCUUCAUUAGAGAGUAUCGCCUCUUACUGAGCAACCGCAUUGCCACAAACAUCACUCAUAACCCAUCACUUAUGUAUCGAUGAGCGAUGCCUUAUUCUAUAAAAGGGACUCUUUUACCAUCAUUAAAGAGUAUCGCCGCCUGUUGAGCAACCGCCUCGCCGCGAGCAUCAACUCUAGCCCAUCAUUUAUGUAUCGAGGAGCGAGCCCUUAUUCUAUAAAAAAGACUCAUUCACCUUCAAUGCCACAAGCCGAGCCAACCAAGGCAACAUAAGCCACAAGCCGAGCAGUCUCACAACAUGUGCUACUUCUAGUUGAGCAUCAUUUCACAUUGAGCACCGCCUUAUAUCGAGUAUUCAGUUCUAGACAACAUCUAGUUACUUCGGUCCACACAUGGACUGAAUUUCAAGUCUCCAACCAAAAGACUCUCUUGACUAAAGACUUAGGGGAUUACUGUUUGUACCAUACUUAGGGCAUCCGUAUUUAGAUCUCGUAUAAAUACUCGGGAGACUCAAAUGUAAUUAUGUAAUAAAUGAAGGGGCAAAUAUGUAAUAAGUGAGGAGCCCUUAUUCUAUAAAGGACUACUCACUCCUCAUUAGAGAGGCCAAGAUUGAGGCCAUGGGAAUAGAGCACACAAAAAAUAGGCUAGAGAGCAUAUUGCCUCUAACCUUCUUGUAUAUUCACCAUUCAGAGUAAAACAAUAUCAACAUCAGUGUGGAUGUAGCCCAAACAUUGGGGUGAACCACGAUACAUCUUGUGUUCUUUACUUUCUUGCAGAUUCACGGUCAGAUUUACGUUGUUCCAAGACCUUUUCGGUUUUGUGCAUCAACAUUUUUUAAAUUAAUUUAACGGUUGAGGUUAAUUUAGAAUAUGUUGAUAUGAUUAUGCUACCAUGCAUCCAUUGUUAAUAGUAUUUACCAUGGAUCUGGACUUGGGGCUAAAAUCAAUGUGUCUGAUGGCAAGUAGGGAUGGGCAAAAUACCCGCAGUUAUGGGUAACUGAGGUUACCUGUCCAUUUAAACUUCAUGGUUACCGUUAUGGAUAACUGUUUAGAUAAAUAAACGGUUAUGGGUAUAACCGUUUACCCGUGAAAUUUAAAUUGAUGGUUAUGGGUAUUAACUGCAGUUAUAAACGGGCAACUGUUUACCUAUUUAUUUUAUAUAUGUAAUGUUGAAAAAAUAAAAUUAUAUAUAUAUAUAUGUAUGUAUGUGUGUGUGUGUGUAUAUAUAUAUAUAUGCGGUUAUUUGACAUGGGAUGGGAAGUUGUGUUAUUAACCCAACAAUCACAUCUCUUCAAUUUGAAUGUUGCAUCUUUUGAUUGUUGCCGAAAAGACAUGAUUCUUGGUCAACAAGUGUAAUCCUUCUCUUAACUAUGUUCUCUAUCGGACAAAACUUAAAUCAAUCCUAUUGACUAUAGUGCAUGGUUUAUAUAGCUAAUUAUAAUAUAAUGUAGCUCGUUAAUACUUUACAUUAUGGGUUAAAUAACCAAAGAAUACUAUCUUCUAAACAAUUUUUGUAACCCAAUAAUACUUAGCAAAUAUUAUAGGGUAAAUUACAUAGUAGCCCCUCAGGUUUGAGGUCUAUUGCAAUCUUAUACAACAUCUUUAAAACAUUUCACUUUCAUACCUCAAGUACUAUUUUAUUUCAAUUUCAUACAACCGUUACAUUUUUCAUCCAUGAAUAUGUUAAAUGCUGACGUGGCUGCCACAUAUAUGCCACGUGGCUGCCAAAUGUCUGCCACGUGGUAAAUAAAAUAAUUUUUUAAUUUCGUAAUAGUUAAAAAUAUUCCGUAAACUAUUAUUUCAAUUAUUAGAAUGAUAUAAGGACUUAAAAAAUUACAAUACAUAAAUGUAUGUUGAAUGUACUUAUAACGGUGUUUAAUUGUUAAAAAAAAAGAAAAUCAUGACAAUUUUUUUUUAUUUUCAAGUUGUUAAAAAACAUGUAGACGGUGAAAAAGAGGAAAUGGUAAAAAAAAAAAAGAUAAACGGGGUUAAAAAGGUUAAAUGGGUAAACUGGUAUUAAACAGUUACGGUUAAAUGGGUAUGCGGUUAUGGGUAUGGUUAACCGUUUAUAAACGGUUAUGGGUAUGGGUAUAAUCGUUUAGAUAAUUACUUAACGGAUAAAUGGUUAUGCGAGUAUGAGUAUAAACGGUUGGGUAAAUAACCACGAUUACCCGUCCGUCAUAACCGUUGCUCAUCCCUAAUGGCAAUGCUCCAUUAACUACGGUGUGUGUGAAAUGUGAUAUUUAUUUAUUUAUUAUUUUUUUUAGAAUAGCACAAUGUUUUGGUAGUGUAUGUUGCUGACUUUUAUUUUAUUUUGCGGAGAAAAAAACAAAAUAAAACAUAUAAUAAAACACUUAUAAAGAAUAGAAACAUAUAUUUCAGUUCAAACAUAAAAACGUAUACAAAAAUUAUUCCGUAUUUUUCACUUAAUGCUACGAUUUAAUGAUAUUUCUCUAAAUUUGUAAGUGAAAUAUCUUAAGGUUCGAUUUUUGUCAGAUACAAAUUUGAAUCAUAUUAUUGUUAGGCCAAUAUGAGGCUAAGCCCAUUAUGUUGGAGAUAAUAAAAUCAUAUUAUUGUUAACUCAUUACAAAACUAAGCCCACACCUCUUCUUUUAAUAUAGAUAAUAUUGUUUGUAUUAAAAAUUCGUCCACAUUUUUGUACUUUCUGAUCUAUUGCUAAUUUGCAAUCCAACCGGAGCGAGCUACGAGUGAGUGGCGGCUCGGCCGAAGAUGCAACGUGGUUACGGCUAAGGAGCUGCGUCAUCAUUUGAACCGGUUUGUUGUCCAACACGUCAUCAUCAUUUUGUCACAUCGCACGCCUCUUUGUCUUCUUUGCAUUAAACGCUUCGUUUGCUACCAUUCAUUAUUCAUUUUGUAUUCUUUGUCACAGAAAACAAAUAUUUCAGCAAGAAAAUCACUUUAAUUUUUUACGAUAAAUAAAUAAAUAUAUAAAAUAUCGUCUUGUAUGUUGGUCAAUAAUAUAUGUUUUGAAAAUGUCAAUUUUGAUAGGGUCAGAUGCUCUCCUUUUUGUUUGUUCAAAUUUUUAAUAUUUUCAAUUAAAAAAGAUAAAUUAUUUUAGGUGCGGACUAGGCCCAAAAAAUCAAAUACCAGUUAGCAAUAUAACAGCCCAAGGUCUAGCCCACUAUAAAUCCUUCAAAAUAAGUCAAGAUCAUUUGAUCAUCAAUCACAAAACAAAACAAUAGUACAACAAACAAACCCAAAUUAAGAAUAUAGUUAAUUUAACCCUAGAGACCAUCUUUUUAGAUCAUAUUUACAGACUAUGUGGUGGUGUUACGGUUAAUGGUUAGAUUAUUACUUAAAAUUGUUAAAAAUGAAAUCCAACCAUCAACAACUGCAUCGUUUAGUUUACAAAAUAUAAUAUAAAAAAUGAUCUCCCUAGCAUUUUCCUUUUGAUUAAUUAGCAAUUCAAAGUCCCAAAAUCAGUUGCAAACAAAAUCAUCGGCAUUUACAAUCAUAUACUUUAUUCAACAAUUCAAGAAAUAAUAAUUAAUUAACCAAAUACAAAUUAAUUUACCCCAACUAAACUAAUAUUCAUACGUCCACACACGGCAGUCCACAAAACAAAGAAGUGCAUCUUAUUCUUUCAUCGUCUUAGGGUUAAAGAUCUCACCAUCUUCCUAAACUGAUCGCCAAACGAAGUAUACGAAACGGUCCCAUCGUUCCCAGCAAGCACUUUGUACUUGUCCUUCCUUGUGAAGUUGGUGCACUCAAACCCUAACGUGGAGGCCAAGAUCCUCUGCACGUAAUUCGCAACAUCAUGAGGGCUUUUCCCAGAUGAACACGUGGCUUCCACAGGCAACUGGUUCAAGAACGUAACUUCGUAAACUGGCCUAGGGUUCAUGAAGAAGAAUAUGGGGUCCAAAGCUUUCCAGCCCCUUGCUGUCGUUGCAUGGAAAAACCCUACCCUGUAGUUCAUGGCCACCGGGACGAUUCGGUUUGUAAGCUCAGCAAAGAGUGCACUAAACCUCAAAAGAAAAGGUUCACGGCACGUCGUUCCUUCGGGGCAAACAACCAAGUCCCCUUUGGUUAGUUCAAGCUUGAUUCUCUCAGCAUCGACGUGCCGAACACGAGUUAAUCGAACGGUGGGGAUUGGGGAUAGGAGCUCUGAUAGUCGAGAUAGAGUAUGUGACUGCUGGAAUCCUACGUUUGAGUACGGUGGAGAGUAUAACGGGGUCCAUUAGGGUUCGGUGAGUGCAGACGAAUAGCACGCCUGAGUUUCCACCGGAGAAGGGCGGUGGUGGUUUGCCUUUCACAAUGACUUUACCACCAAAUAGUUGAGACAUGUAGGGUAUAGCCCUCAUUGGCAAUAUCAAUCCCAUGAAUAGGCGAAUGAAGGCAAGUGAGAUGCCUAGGGGCAUCCAUAGGAGGAUUAAGAGGGCGGUUGAAGGUGUAGGGCGCUUGACUAGUCGGCCGUCGUGGAAGAUCACCGGGAGUGGUCGGAGGACUUGCUGUUCAUCAUGCUUUUUGUUGGCGAUCAUAAGUGGUGGGUGGAUUUGUUCCUGUAGUGACAAGCCAUGCAUGCAUAAUUUACUUCAUUAGUACCACACCAAGAUAAUUUACUUAAUUAGUAAGUAUGCAUCGUUAUGUUAUGUGUUGAUAAUGAAUAGAACAAAUGGUUCAGAUCCAAUAUGUAUAUAUUAUGUAUCACGUCAGUUGUUAAUAAUACUAUUCAUUUCAAAUAUGUACGCACCUUGCAUAGGGAUAAAAAUGAAGAACCAGAUGAUGAAGGCCUUCCCAACCCUAAUGUCGGUUGUUCCUCAUCCACAAACAGCUUGGCCACUCGACUGUAUAUGUUAACUUCACCUUUAACAAAGCCGGUAGCAAACCCAAAUCGGUUUACAAGAAGCUCACUGCCAAUAACUUCAUCAGCUCUCAAAUGCUCCUUCACAAACCUCUCCACCAUAAUCCUUGGCAUCUUAGUCACCACAACCCUCUUAUCAUAUGAGCUAAACACUUUCCAAGCCUCCGUAUCCAAAUCAUCCAUGUAAAACUUUGGCAACACUGCACGAGACACGGACUCAAUCUCUGAUUUCGGAACACCAAAAACAGCAACAAAAGUCAUCAGUUUAAGCCCGGCUUCCUCCAUACCUAUCAUCUCCAGAAACCGGAUCACCGGCCACAUCAUUAACAACACGGCAAACCGUAUCAAACCUGACGCCUCAAAUGCUACCAACAUGAAGUAAGAGAAGGGGUCAGGAUCCCUUAGAAGUGUUCCUUCGAGCUCCGAAACAAUAGACUCCAUUGAGCCAGUAUGGGUUUGCAUUUGUUUUCUACGGAUUCUUGUUUUUCUCGGUUUGGGAUUAAUUAAGACCAGGAUUAUGUGGUUAUAAGUACUAUAUUUGGCUUAGGAUUAUGAUUAUUUGACGACUGGUUAGAAGAAUGUAGGAAUGGAUCGGUUUAUCAGUUUACAACAACCCUAAUUACUUUAUAACAUUUUCUAAGAUCAAUCUUUCUCUCUCUAAUUUGACCAUCUGGAGAGAUUUUUCAGUAUGACCGUCACACGAGACGGUACACCACGUGUCCUUAUAUAAAUAAUGGGAUAUAUGUGUUAAAAGAUUAAUAACUUAAAAAUUAAAAAUUUUCACCUCUUACAUAAAAACACGUGGUAUACCAUCCGUAUUCCCAUCACAACUAAAAAAUUUCUCCAGCUUUUAGGUUUUUGAGGUGGAUGUAACAGCAAAGGAAAAAGUAUCAUACGCCACGUAAAUCCACUGAAAAUUUGGAUUACUUAACCCCAACAACUUUGGUGACGUGGACGUUUAAUUUGCGAUACAAAAGUCCAUCUGUACACACCUAAUAGCAGGUCUGACUUGGUGCCUUUAGGUCACUGACUUCAACAUUUUACAACGUUAUUAGUGAACAUGUUAUUCAAUCAAUCUUCGUAUAUAAGUCUUGCAGAAAGUUUAUGUAACAGUGGCCACCCCACGUUCAUGUUGCACGGGGGCAUACGAGUCCAUGCCAAUAGCUGGCUGAUGAGGAAAUUUUUGGCAGAUAUCGGUUUCGAUUAUUUUGAUCUUUUGGUUUUUCCACGUUUUAGAUUUUGAUGUAUAUAGUUUUAUAUGGCUUUUCCUUGUUCUUAACAGAUUUUUCCCAUUAAGAAUAUUGUCGCAUUGUACUAAUUUCCUUUUUGCAUUCUCUUAUUUACAAACUUGCACUCGUGAUUGAUGUGUUUUCUUUGCUGUCAAAAUUGGAGAUUUCGUAAUACAGUUUACAUGGACAUACUACAAAGAUCUCCCAGCUGUAGGUUUAUAAUAUAUAAUCAUCUUUUAGAACGUAGGAGGAUACUAACAAAAUGCCACAUGUACAUACUUCACAAAAGUAAAGAUUCUCGUUCGUACCCAAUAAAAAAUUACAAAAAAACCAACAAAUUAAUUGAAUAUCUCAUGUACUUUUGUUUUGACAAUAUUUGACUUUCAUGGCCUGCUAGUUUAAACAGGUUUAUGAAUGAACAUGUUAAGGAAAGAUAACUUAGGUUAAAAGUCAAGUAAAAACAAGAGGAUUCAUAUCCUUGGAAAUUGUUUUGCAACGGUAACAAAUCUUCAAUAUAUCUUCAAUAUCAAGUUUUUGUGUUGAUUAAUAUGUCAAUAACUCAAAUAGGAUAGUAAUAAAUCAGGAAAAUAUAUCAAAUUCGCGUAGGUCAUACCUAACAAAUGUCCUGUAGAAUUCAAAGGAGGAGGAUAUACAGAACUCAAAUCACUAGUUAUAUUGAUCCUCAAAUCAAGCUAGCCACUUGCCGUCUCCGGCUUUCGUGCGAUCUCCGGCUUUCAAAGUAGGUUAGAAAUUAGCAAAGCUUGCAAGAAGAAUCAAUUCAAAGUAGGUUAAAAAUUAACCAAAAGCUAGCCAUUUGCCGUCUCCGGCUUUCGUGCGAUCAAGUAUGCUGUUAAUUUGCUUUAUCAGAUUGACACGGAAAAUUUCUGCUCCAAGUUAGGUAAUGUUGGUUUGAAUAGAUGAUGAAAACCAACAUUUCAGUUUCAGCAUUAUAUAUAUAAAUAUACAUACGCACACAUACACUGAGUCUUUAACCGAAGGGAUCUCCAUAUUUUUUAGAAAAUAAUGAUUAGUUGUGGGCCCAAACGACAUAGAACUUCAACAAUCUAAAUCGUUUAGUUUUCAAGUUAGCACCUCAUAAAUUAUCCUUGCAAAAUAUUAGCCAAAUCGUAAAUAUUGAGGCAUUUAAUUGAGCUCAAUGAAAUUGAUGAAUGCUAUGGUCUAAGAAACAUUGAAACUUCAUUGUGACUAUUGAAUAGUCAAAUGGUUUCAGAUUGAAAAUUUCAUUGUGACAAUUGAAUGGGCAAAUGAGUUUGAAUUGAAUUAAAUUUUUGCAAGGAUGACCUAUGAAUCGAAAUUUAUAACAUAUACGGUUCGAAUCAUUGAAGUUUGAUGUGAAGCGAGUUCCAUAUUAAUCUCCUUUUUUAUUUAUUUAUUAAAUUGUAGCAAUGGUCUCUCAACUUUAAUCAAAUUGGAGCAAUGAUUCUUCAAUUAAAGGUCUAUUACUAUUGGUCUAUCAACUCAUUAAAAUGUGGAGCUAUGGUCAUUUUCGUCAACUUCGUCAAAAUUUUGUCAAAAUAAGUUAUGUUAGAAGGACCAUUACUACAAUUGGGACCCCUUAACUCAUCAAAACAUGUAGCUAUGAUUAUUUUCGUCAACUUUGUUAGAAUUUUGUUAAAAUGAGUUAUUUUGGAAGGACCAUUGCUAAAAUUGGGUUAAAUUUGAGGGACAAUUUCUCUAGUUGGAUUAAAGUUGAGGGACCAAUGGUAAUGAAUUUUUAGUUGAGGGACCAUAGUUGCACGUUUUGAUGAGUUGAGAGACCAAUGAUAAUGAAUUUUUAGUUGAGAGACCAUUGCUCCAAUUGAGUUAAAAUUAAAGGACUAUUUCUACAAUUUACUUUUUUUUUUCUUCCAAAAUGGGAUCCCUCUCCAUAAAGGUUCUGUACAUAUAUAUAGACGGAGCAUACUACAAAAUCACUAAUCUCGAACCCAAUUUCAAUUUGUGUUUCAUACUUUUGAGUUCUCACCAGCUACAGUCACAUCCGCCAGCUUACUCCGAUACACGUGCCGACGUACGUUUUCCGGCCUGUAGGUGCGUUUCGAUUAGCGUGAAGAAGUGGUAGAAUAUGAUUAAGUUCAAUUUCCCACCCAAAAUAGGCCCAACAUUGAUAGAUCAGGCCCUCAAGAGGAAAACCUUCAUCCCAACCCACCAAAAUGUUGAAUGGGCUUAGAUUUUUGGGGUUGUGCAGGAGCAUCCAAGUUGAUAUGAUGACCUAAACGAAACUGACGUACAAUAUAACGGAUUUGGAUCCCAUCCGAAUUGAAAUGGUGAGGAUGGUAGGAAUUUUUACAUUUUUAUCAUUCAACGUGUAUCGUGCGAUCAAUUUUUUUUAUAAAUUAAACACAAAUAGUGCCUGACGAAAAUUGGGCGAACGAUGUACAAUGAACGACUAAGGAUCCUCACAAAAUGAAUCUGGAGAUGAUCCUCUUCAACAAGAAUCACUAUUCACAAAGUUUUAAAUAUGGUUACGGUGGUGGACAAACUUCUCCAUGAAACAACGUCAUUGGUAGCAUGUAUAGUUUCGGUUACAUUGAAGGGCCUACUUGAUCUAAUCCUUAAUUCUUUUUGUUAGUAGCAUGGCCAACAGGAUUCUCUUCGGAUUCUUAUGAUGAGGAUCCUGAAAAUCCGUAAAUCGUAUCUACAAAUAAAUGGAUAUUUUUGUUUUUCUAAAAAAGAUCAAAAAUAAAAAGUCUUUGGUAUUAGUUCACUGCCGACUGCGAACUAACUACGUCAUUACUUUUACCUUCAAUAUUUCACCGACCUUUCAAAUCAACAAAGGUCACAUUCACAUCAACAUAUCUGCUGCUACCUUGGUUGAAAUCUUGCUUGAGUCCUGUGCGCAAUGUUGAAAAUCUAGCUAAAUGAUUAACGACACCAGUUUAAACCAUGAGGGUUAUUACUGGUUUGGUAUUGAUAUGAUUUUAUAAAAAAUAAGUAUAAAAUAAAGUUGAGUUUAAAAAGGUGUUUGGUAAACACCUAAAAAAAAACUUAUUUUCAUAGUUUUGGAUGAAAAAAAGCUGAAAACAUGAAGCAGCAAAAACGAGUUUAUUCUCACAGCACAGCAAAAACAGUUUUUUUUUCAAAACACAGCAAUGCCAAACCAAUACUUGGACGAGGAAUGAGAUGCGGUAGAAUGAAGAGUAUUAAGUAGUUUAGAGAUAUACUCAUAGUUCGAAGCUCUCAUUUAUAAUUAAAAGUAUUUACUGGAGACAAGAUCAGAGAUGCAAGAGCAUAUAAUAUAAACUAUAUACUAUAUAUAUACAUUGACUGUAAGGUAAGCAAUGAAAAAAUCAUUACCGUAUGCAGUUGCCCUAAUAAGGAUAAGCAUCACAAGAUCGUUAUGGCGGACAUAUGGCUAGCCAUGAAUUCCGCUUUGCCAAAUUUCGAGGUUAUGCCUCACCCUUUCAUGUAUACAUAUAUAAAUCUUUUCCUUUGAUUUCUUUAUUAAAAUUAUCCGCAUAUGAGUUUGGAAUAUAAAAGAUAAGAUAGAUAAUUAAACUGUUUUUCUCUUUUUCUUUUUGCUUAACAGAUAAGGGAAAUAUGCUGCACAAUAUUUAUUUUUUAUUUUUUAUUUAAACACCUACUUUAAUUUUCUUCUCUUAUAUAUAUAUACUAGCAGAGAACAUACAUUUUGUGUGUGUGAACAAUUUCUCUUAAUAAGUGCAUAUUUUUUUUAAUAUUACAUAAUUACUGUUUUGUUCUCCUUGUGUAAAUAUUAUGUAUAAAAAAUGAGGGUAAAAUUGGAACAAUAAAUAUAUGAUUGUCAUUUUCUUAAAAAAAAAAAGGUAAAAUAACGAUAUGAUUGUUAUUUUGUCAAAAGGUACAAAAUUACUAUUUUGCCAUCCUUUUGUCAAUAGUGUGUAUCAAAAGUGAGGACAAACUGAGAAAAAAAAAAGAGAAAAAAGUUGACAAGCGGGAUUCUCUUAAUAGUAUACUUAAUUGAAUAGUUAUACACACUCAUACAUACAUACAUAUAUAUAUAUAUACCUUUUUUUUCUUCUAAGUAGUUGUCGUGUUUAAGCGUAAUUAGGGUUUUAACCCAUGAACUGCAGACAGAAUAAUAGUUUAUUUGAUCUUUUCAAAAAAAAAAAAAGUUUAUUUGAUAAGAAGGAAUGUGGAGCAGGGGAGGUGGAGCAGCACAUAUUAAUGAAUCAUGUGGAAGGAAGCACAGACAAGUCACGUGACCCUCCUCAACACAGAGAAUAUCAUAAUCAUAUGAUACGAUGAAUGAAGCCAAGUGACUCACAUAUCUGCAAAAUCAUCGUCGUCCACUGCUAUUUGCAUAAAUAUUAAUAUUGUAAAUGUAAACAAACUCUUGGCUGACUUGACCACUUAACUAACAUUAUCACCUUCUGUAUUUUUUCUUCUUCUUUUUGAUCGGUGCUUUUUCUGUAUUUUAAAAGAAAAGAAAAUAAAAAGGCAUCUUUGGUUGCCCAUAUGGUUUGGGUUUUUGGGGUCUUGGUGGUACUGGUAAGUGGUUGCUAGGGUUUUUAGCCGCAUUCAGAGCAUAAAUUUAUAUUCUCUGGGUUUUAGUGGGUCGCAGUAUUAGUGAAAGUUUAAAAUAAGAUCAUUCCAUUUUAUAUUUUGUUGAUGCUAAAAUUUAGUUGAGUUUUUUUAUUUGAUUGGUUGAGUCGAGUUGAGAUUCUAUCGUUCUAACUAGGAAAAAAAACGUAAGGGUAAUGUUGAGGAGAUGAUCAAUUUAAAUCAUAUUUUGUAAAUCAUAUGACGUGGUUGUUGAUGAAGAUUAUUACUUAAGUGUUGAUUAAUGUAUUUGUUUCUUAUUAUUGACACAUCACAUGGUUUGCAAAUGUUGUCCAAAAAAUUGAUCCACCUUGCAUUAAUCAGAAAAAAAAUUAGAAAAGUCUUGGAAGACAUUGACGAGGUGAUUAUAAAAGUGACACCAUUGUUGUAUCAAAUACCUAGUUCUCCAUUUAGUGGUACUUAUCUUUUUGAUGUUGAAAAAAAUACUAAAUUUUUAAUCUUUCAUCCCAGUUGAUUCUAGAAAGACAAUUCGUGAGUAGUUGGUAUAGCGACACUGAGUCUAUUUAAUUAGAGAAAGUAUGAGGUUAACUCAGACAAAUGUGACAAUUGUAAUGAGAAAAGAAAGGUUACUAGCGUGUGUAUUAAAGAAUUCUUGUAGCCCUAUAUUGAUCACCUUAUUAAUUGUUGCCUAAUUAAAAUCUCUCCCACUAUCAUGAAUGUGCCUAACAUGUCCUUCAAUGAGUAAUUGACCAGUCCUCCUAAUGAAUGAGAUUUUAGCUGUUCUUACUGCACAUAGGCAUCACACUUUCAACCAAGCAGCUAUGUUAGCUGGGUUCUCAAAGUCUGUCUAGGAUGAUUCCUGAGAUGUGUUGGGUUCAAACAUUUUAUGUCACGUCCCGGCUCGAAACGGAUCACUUUCCGGGCCCGCUCUACCACUGUAGCACGAUAUUGUCCGUUUUAGGCCUCGAUCAUGUCCUCACGGUUUUGUUUCUGAGAACUCACGAGCAACUUUCCAGUGGACCACCUAUCAUGGGAGUGCUUUGGCCACCUUCUCGCUUAACUUCGGAGUUCCGACGGAACCCGAAGCCAGUAAGCUCCCAAAAAGACUCGUGCUAGGUAGGGAUGCGAAUAUACAUUUAAGGAUCACUCCCAUGGACGAUAUGGGAUGUUACAAUCCACCCCCCUUAGGGGUCCGACGUCCUCGUCGGCACACUUCCGCCCAGGGAUUAGCUCUGAUACCAUUUGUCACAUCCCCGCCUGGGGCGGACCACUUCUCGAGCCCGCUCCACCACCGUAGCACGAUAUUGUCCGCUUUGGGCCCCGACCACGCCCUCAUGAUAUUGUUUCUGGAACUCACGAACUUCCCAGUGGGUCACCCAUCAUGGGAGUGCUCUGGCCACCUUCUCGUUUAACUUCGAAGUUCCAACGGAACCCGAAACCAGUAAGCUCCCAAAAUGCCUGAUGCUAGGUAGGGAUGAGAAUAUACAUUUAAGGAUCACUCAUCUGGACGAUGUGAGAUGUUACAUUUUAAGCUCGGAAACUCAAACGCAAUUAUAACGCCAGGAACAUCACAUUUUUGUACCACAAAAUAUUAAACCGAGAAUAGUUUAGCAGACGCAUAUUUGUACAAUAUUUGUACACAAAAGUUAUGCAACUAGUUAAAAGUUAGUACAACACUGUUGAGAUGGUUUGAUAAGGUAAAGCCGUAAGCUUAAAUACACCUUUCAAAUUGACUCGUCAUGGCAAGAAUUUAUUUGCAGGAGCACAUGGAUGGAAGUUACUUCUUAUAGUUCAUCUCUACCUGUAAUAAACUUGAAUUGCAGAACUGUUUUGGGUCCUUCUCUAACCCUCCUAACAAUUGUACCUUGCAAUUUACUAAUUAUUUUUAAUUUGCUAUUUAUAGGGACGAAUUCGUGACAUCACUUUUUUACACAAUUUUUGAGGUACAUUUUUGUGGGCAUACUUUGUAAUGUGUUUCAACUAUCCGAACUGUCUAUCAUUUAAGUAUUUCCUUAAAGAUCAUGUGCACCAAAUUACCUAAAAUUGGAACCAUAUGACCGUUGGAUUACUAGUUUAGGGUUUCUUUGUAGAACUAUACUCGUCCAUUUAUUCACUACAAAUGAAUGUCUUAAUGGUUUGGAUUUGUCUAAUUUUUUGUAAGCAUGAUUUAUGAAUGAUGUUCUAUAAAAAAAAGAUAGUUUAAAAUACAUUACAGAAUGUGUCCCACAAACACGUGUGUAAAAAUUAUGUAAAAAAAAUGGUGUCGCGAAUCCACCUUCAUUAUCUAUCUAUCUAUAUGAGUGCGAACAUAUAAUUGUACUAAUUGAGAAAAAAAAAUUAGCAAAUGAAAUUUUCUAUGCAAAUUGUGUGACUUAAUCGAAUUUUUCCCUCCACUUAGUGUAAAAUCUAUCGUUGUACCAAAAAAUAAAAAAUUUCCUAUUUAGAUCAUCACCCCAAAAAAGAAUGAAAUUAUAUGCCAGAUGCAAAAACUGAGAAUCAAAUUUACAUUAUUUUUUGAGCGAAAGAUAUCUACACCAAGGAAUAAAGGUUAACUAAAUCUCAUAAUAAAUUAGUAAUAAUGUGGUUCAAAUUUCAUUUUCAACAACUGAGAAUUAAUUUACUCAUAUACAUACGUUGAAGCAUAACGCAAUCUCUUCACAAGAUUUGACAUUUCCUUUCCAAAAAAAACCAGAAAACUAACAAAAUAAAUAAAUAAAUAACGUGCCUAUUAAGACCUUGAAUUAAAGGAAUUAAUUAAUCCCAAACAAAAGAGGCAGGAGGAGCUGCAGUUAGUCGAUGAAACAGAACCCUAAAGACCUCUUCGUAGGAACCAAAUCCUGGCCGUCAUUCCUCGUAUCCAACGGCUCAGAUUCCUACACAGCUCUUGCUUAUCAUUGCCCCCUUUCUCACUUCACUGUCUCCCCCUCCCCCUCCCCCUCUCUCCUCUCACAUUUGUUAAAAAAAAAAUGUUUGUAUCCAUAUUUUUGAUCAUCUAAGCUUCCGAUCCUCGUCUCACUCAGUACAAAAAUCCACUCUUUAACUUUACGGAAAGAACAAUCUUUUCACUUUCAGUGCAAUUUUAAGAAUGGGUUCGUAGUUUUUGAUCGAGAAAAUCGCUUUAUCUAAAGUUUUGUAGCAAUCCAUCUGUUUUUAGCAGUUUUAAGCUAAACCCUAUCUGAAAGUCUCAAUCUUUGUUCAGUUUUCAGUGGUUUUUGUUUGAUUUGGUUGAUGAUUUUUGGUUGUUGAUUGUAUGAAAUGGUCACCGAUGCUUAUUCAAAGAUGAUGUCUGAAAUGUCAAUGCGAUCGAUGUCAAAGAGUGGCGAUUACAGCGAAGAUUUGAGUACGUUGAUUCGUGAACAGAGGCGGCAGCAUGAAGCAAGUGAGCGGGAGAAGGAGCUGAACAUAUACAGGAGUGGGUCAGCGCCGCCCACCGUGGAAGGCUCGUUGAAUGCUGUCGGAGGCUUGUUUGAGGCGUCUGCACUGUCGGGUUUCACGAAAAACGGCACUAAAGGGUUUGCGACCGAAGAGGAGCUUCUCGCUGAUCCAGCUUAUGUGAAUUACUACUAUUCCAAUGUUAAUCUCAAUCCACGGCUUCCGCCGCCGCUGCUUUCGAAGGAGGACUGGCGUUUUUCCCAGCGGUUGCAAGGCGGAGGUGGGGGUUCGGCAGUUGGAGAUAGGAGGAUAGGGGGUAGGAGUGGCGGUGAAGGGUCACUUUUUUCUGUGCAGCCGGGGAUUGGAGGGAAGGAGGAGAAUGGUGUGCAGGCGAGGAAGGGUGCGGCAGAGUGGGGCGGUGAUGGGUUGAUUGGGUUGCCAGGGUUGGGACUUGGGAGUAGGCAGAAGAGUAUUGCAGAGAUUAUUCAGGUGAAGUGUUAGUAAAGUUUGUUUUUUGAAUUGGUUUAUAUGAUAGCUUGUUAUCUUGAAUAUACAAUGUUUGUUUGCGUUUGGAAGUAUUUUAAGUUUUCAUGUGAUAAGCUUAAGCUUACUGGAGUAUUAUGUGAUUUGAUUUCUUCUCAAUUUUGUGUUUUACAAAGGUUUAAUCGUUAUGUUUCUUCGUUGAUUUCUCGCUUAUAUUUUGUGUUUAUCAUUAUAUGAUUUACUCGAUAUCUAGCUCAGCUCCUCUAAGUAGGGUGCGCCUUUCGAUUAUCCUAAUGAAGUGGAACAAGUCAAUGUUUAGUGCCCUUGACAGUGGUUUCUCUGAAUUGUUAGCUGAUGAGACUAAUUCCAUGAAAUGGAGGUGUUUGCUGGGAUGAGAAAUUGAACUAGUUCUCCUGACACUGGUUCAGUUAUUUCUUUAUUUUUUAUUAUAAUUUUUUUUAAUUUUUUUUUUUUAUAAUUAUCAACUUAUCUGCUGUAGACACUAGACACUGAUAUUGAAAAGUGGAAUUUGUUUUUCAGUAAUUCUUUUAUCUUGCUUAUUAACUAUAAUUUUAACUCUUUGCAUAAAUGUUGCACCAGUAAAAUGUAAAGUUAAUUCGAAUGGAAACUGUUUCUGCGUAAGGUAUUUGGAUGUAUUUUCUUGGUUCAUUGGCAGAUUUGCUCCUGUGGUCUUUUUGUUGUAUGCUUGUUUUUCCUGGUUAAAUUUCAUUGCCCGCGACAACUUUCGCAUAAUAAAAUUUGAAUUUGUUUAUCAGAUAUGCUGUCUAAAACUCUUGAUAUUUCAAUGCAGGAUGAUAUACAUAAUACAAAUGUCUCAAGGCACCCUUCUCGUCCUGCUAGCCGGAAUGCGUUUGAUGAUGGUGUUGAAGCUUCAGAUACCCAGUUUGCUCAUUUACAGGGAAUGUCAGCUGUUCAGAACGGCGGUUCAUCUAGUUCUCAUACAUAUGCUUCUGCUCUGGGUGCUUCAUUGUCGAGAAGCAACACACCAGACCCUCAGCUUGUAGCUAGGGCUCCUAGUCCUCGAAUUCCACCAGUUGGAAGGGUUUCCUCCAUGGAUAAAAAAAUUGGCAAUGGUCAAAACUCAUUCAAUGGUGCCUCACUUAAUGUGAAUGAGUCUGCAGAUCUGGCAGCUGCUUUAUCUGGUAUGAACCUGUCAACAAAUGGUAGGAUUGAUGAGGACAAUCGUGCACGCUCACAAAUGCAACAUGAAAUUGAUAAUCACCAUAACCUUUAUGACAUGCAAGGUGAUUGGAACCAUAUUAAACAAAAUUCGUACUUGAAUAAGUCUGAUUCUGGGAAUUUUCAUCUGCAUUCUGCUUCCCAAUCUUCUAACAAAUCUUAUCAGAAUAUGGGAAGAGGCAGUGGAUUUGGUAGGGAUCUGAACAGCCCUUCUUAUAUGUCUGACAAUCUAGUUGAUAUUAAUAAUCCUGCUGUAUCUUCUGGUAACUCAUACUUAAGAGGACCUGUGCCAGCUCUUAAUGGCCGAGGAAGCUCACACUCCCACUAUCAGAAUGUAGAAAAUACCUCAUUUCCGAACUAUGGCUAUUCUGGUAGUCCUUCAUCUCCAUCAAUGAUGGGUAGUCCACUUGGUAAUGGUAGUUUACCACCCUUAUUUGAAAAUGCUGCUGCUGCGUCUGCAAUGGGUGGGUUGGACUCUGGAGCUUUUGGAGGGAUGUCUCUAGGACCAAAUCUGUUGGCUGCAGCUGCUGAAUUGCAGAAUAUUAGGGUUGGAAAUCAUGGUGGUGGGAGUGCUCUUCAGGUUCCCAUGAUGGACCCAUUGUAUGUUCAGUACUUGAGAUCAAAUGAAUAUGCAGCUGCACAGCUUGCAGCCCUUAAUGAUCCCACAAAAGAUAGGGAAGGCAUGGGUAAUACGUACAUGGAUUUACUUGGUUUGCAAAAAGCUUAUUUGGGGCAGUUGCUUUCGCCCCAAAAAUCACAAUUUGGUGCUCCCUACAUUGGCAAGUCUGGUAGCUUGAAUCAUGGUUAUUAUGGAAAUCCAGCAUAUGGGCAUGGGAUGUCUUAUUCUGGAACACCAUUGGGUGGUCCCCUUCUUCCAAACUCUCCUGUUGGACCUGGUAGUCCUGCCAGGCAUGGUGAGCGGAACUUGCGUUUUUCUUCUGGGUUGAGGAACAUGGGUGGAAGUCUGAUGGGAGCUUGGCACUCCGAAAAUGGUGGAAAUUUGGAUGAAAGUUUUGCCUCCUCUUUACUAGAUGAGUUCAAAAGCAAUAAGACUAAAUGUUUUGAACUUUCAGAGAUUGCAGGGCAUGUUGUUGAGUUCAGGUAAAUAUUUGUCGCUGUUUCUUUAAAUCUUUGUGCCCUUAUGUGUUCCAGAUAUCCACAACUUAAUUCACUCAUAUAAUACCUUGAACAGUGCCGACCAGUAUGGAAGUCGGUUUAUUCAACAAAAACUUGAAACUGCCACAAUUGAAGAGAAGAACAUGGUUUUUGAUGAAAUUAUGCCCCAAGCACCAUCUCUUAUGACCGAUGUGUUUGGUAAUUAUGUGAUUCAGAAGGUACCUUUUCCCCUUUAGAUUGAUUUGCCUUUAUGUGCAAUUUUAUGUGUCCUCGUGCCUAGCAUGUUCAUGAUAUGCAGUAGUUAAGUGGCAGAAAUUAAAUGUUGCAGUUUUUCUUCUAUGUCUGACUUUUGCACUUUGGUUCAGUUUUUUGAGCAUGGAACUCCAGCACAAAUAAGAGAACUUGCAGACCAGCUCACUGGGCAUGUGCUGACCCUUAGCCUUCAAAUGUAUGGCUGUCGAGUGAUCCAGAAGGUAUGUACAGUUAGCUGACUGAACACAGUAAUUAACUUUCCAUAAUGAUAUUCCUUGCAUGUUUUACCAUUGGCUUUCAUACGAACUCAGAAGGAUUACCUUCUACAUAUUGUAUGUGUUGCAGGAGACAGGAUACGUAUCUAAUAGAAAUUAUUUGUCUAUAAAUUUCAGGCUAUAGAAGUUGUUGAGCUGGACCAGCAGACUAAAAUGGUAGCUGAACUGGAUGGUCAUGUUAUGCGUUGUGUUCGUGAUCAAAAUGGCAACCAUGUUGUCCAGAAGUGUAUUGAAUGUGUACCUGAAGAUGCCAUCCAGUUUGUUGUUUCAACUUUUUAUGACCAAGUCGUGACACUGUCUACUCAUCCAUAUGGUUGUCGUGUCAUACAGGUUAAGAACCUCUCCAUUUUCUGACUCGCAUUCAUUUUGCAUCUGCCUAUUAAUCAUAUAUGUUGAAGAUAAAUGGUUAUGAAUGCAACCAAAUGGUAUAGUAACUUUGAUUUAACAGAGAGUUUUGGAGCACUGCCGUGACCCCAAAACGCAGCAAAUAAUGAUGGAUGAGAUUUUGCAGUCUGUUUGCAUUUUGGCACAAGACCAAUAUGGAAAUUAUGUUGUCCAGGUUUGUUUCAUUUCUAAGAAACUUUUGUCACUCUACCUUCUCAUUAUUAAAGGAAAUAAUUCCACAGUGGUUUAAUGGAAUCUGUUGUUUAAGUAUCAAAUGGACCUCUUAACUUAAUCAACUAAUUUUCUUUGUUGGAUGUUAUUUUGGUUCUUCUUUUAUACAGUAUAGAUGUUCAAUUUUGAUUUUUCUCUGCACAUCCUAGUCUCAUCUUAACCUCAAUUUUGUUGGCUCUUCAUGCAUUUGUGACUUCACUUAAACCGGUUAAUCAACUUCUGGUAUCAUGCUUAUAAUGGGACUAUUAGCUGUCCAUUAUGUUGAUCAUAUGGGUGUGAUUCAUGCCUUUUCAUCAGUCACACUUCAAUUUACCCUGAAUUUGGAGUGUAACGGGGUUCUUGAUGUUAGUGUCAAAUAUAGCUCUCUGUUUUAAAUUGCUUAUGCAUUUAGUUGGUUGUUCAAAAAUUGGUGGGGUUACAACGGUUGCUACUAAUGUUACAUUGUCAGUUAUUUAGUCUCACAACAAUAUGUAUCUUCAGUUUUCCCUGUUGUAUAUACAUGAUCUCAUUUAGAUGGAGGGAUUGGAUAGAAUUGAGGAAUAAGAUGAUUUCAGCUCCGCUCCACCCCUCCGCCACCAAUUUAAUGUUUUCAUACUUAUUUUCUUUGAGCUCUGUUUAUACACCUUACUUGGCUUAUUGAAUGAGUUUAUGCACCCAUACCUGAUUGUUUCCUGAUGUAAUUUAUUAACUGAAUACGGUUUUGUUUGCACUUACAAUAAGUCGAAAGAUAAAUAUUAUAUUUUGUGAUGAUCUGUGGAAGUAUAGUAUGGUAGACACUGUUGUUGAUUGAACGUAUUCACGUCAUAGAACUGUUACUCGGAGAGUUACCUCCCUGCCUCUGGUUUUGCACCAGAGCCAUUGUGUCAGGUUGAUGACAUACAAUUUUUUAAGAAGAAUUGAGUACCUCUUUUAUACCUUUGGUCCUUUGUGCUUUGUAAACUUUACUUUCUUUACAUUUCAGAAUAGGCUUGCAAAAGCUAACUCAGAAACCGUAAAAACAAAUAAAUGUCCCAUAAGCUGAUAGCCUGAUGUUUACUGCAAAGACGUGCCUGUAAUAACUAGAUUCAUGAACCUUCUUUUCAUGGAACCCGCAAAGGAGUUGUGGAUACUUUAAAUUGUGGUUUAAUUUGGAAACAACAAUACGUAGCCUUUGCUGUAUGUAGUAAACUAUAUAUUUUAUUCUUUGUUUACAUUAAACUCAGUCAACUGAUUGUAUUUAUUUUUACAGCAUGUGCUGGAACAUGGAAAGCCACAUGAACGGUCAUGUAUAAUUAAGGAACUAACUGGGCAAAUCGUUCAAAUGAGCCAGCAGAAGUUUGCGUCAAAUGUCAUAGAAAAGUGUUUAAGUUUUGGAACUCUUGCUGAACGCCAGGCCCUUGUAACUGAGAUGCUUGGUACCACUGACGAAAAUGAGCCCCUUCAGGUUUGCUACUUACUAUGAAGUUUUUGGUGUGCACUGUUGGUGAAUGUAUUCUUUUGUUAUAGCAUAAUUUUCUUUCUUUAAUUCUUUUCUUGUCUCAAUGUGCCAUCUUCAACUAUAUUUUACUCUGGUCAAGUUUGCAUAGAUGGGUUCCUGAACUAAGUGCGAACCUUUUCAAAUUGCUGAAAAGAGUUGACGUCUCUAACUUUUGGGGAUUUUAUGAAAAUAAUCUUUACAGUUUGAAGUAACUUUUCUAUAACAUCCGAAGCUCUUAUGAUUACUUUUAUUAUGAUUAUGCUGUUACCUGAAACGAUGGUUUCUUAGGUUGAACUCGUGAAUUCAUUUGAAUACUAGUGAACUCAUUGGGUUUACUUUCACUUAUUAUCUUUGACAUGUAAAAGCUAACUUUUACCUUAACAUUCUCAAUGACAGUUUGCCUCACCUUUGCAAAUUAAUUGCUUUUUGAUGCAUCUAGCUGUUUUGACAAAAUCGCGCUAAAGCUAGGGUGUCACCUGUAGGUGGCGCGUUGUGUGGCCCGAGCACAGUGAUAAGUGAGCAAGGGUCGCUGUAUCUCUAGCUGACCCCACUUAGUGGGAAAAGGCUUUGUUGUUGUUUUUGCUGUUUUGAUAAAGUAUUUGAAUCGUGUCCUUAGUAUAUAAUAUUCAACAAUGUGCUAGUACGACUAUUCAAAGCUUGAAUUUAUUAAUGCAUAUAUCAUUUUCAUUUUUGAUUAACAUUGACUAGACGAACACAAACUUUUUAAAUUGUGAAAGAUUUUUGUUUUGUCAGUAUCAAAUUUUCCAAAUACUAUGGCUCUAGGAAAAUGAUUUGCCAGGCAUUGGUUUUUAAGACGGGUAUAUGCAUAGACUAGGGUCUUUUAAUAUUCCUUCUUAUUCUUGUUCUGUUUGAAUUUAGGCGAUGAUGAAGGAUCAGUUCGCAAACUAUGUUGUACAGAAAGUGUUGGAAACUUGUGACGAUCAGCAACUUGAACUAAUCCUUAACCGAAUUAAGGUUCACCUGAAUGCCCUGAAGAAGUAUACUUAUGGGAAGCAUAUAGUUGCCCGUGUAGAGAAACUUGUUGCUGCUGGGGGUACUUUUUCGCUCUUUCUCCUUUGUCAUUUCAUAUCAAUCUUACAUCUCAUAGUGAUGCUUGAACACAUGAUACACAAAUGUAGUUCUGAUUCAUCGUUUGGGUUUUCUUGCAAUGCAAGAAGUUGGUUGUCAUUUCCAAAAUGAAUAAUAUGAUUUUCUAGCCUAAUAUGUAUUGUUAUUCCGGCUUCAAGCUUUGGACUUGCUACUGGUGUAAAAAACCUGGUUGCCUCAAAUCGCUAACAAGGUGCUGAAUCUUUUGCAGAGAGGAGGAUUAGCAUUCUGGCUCCCCAGGCUUCUGCUGCUUAGAUGGGGUACGGGGACGAAGUUGUACAGCUAACUGAGGAUAAUAUGAGCCCCUCUGUUUCUUUCAUGUCAAGUAAAGGCUCUGUCUAUGUAUUGAGAUGGAUAAGGCGCGAUUAAAAUAAAGAUCGUUGGUUGUACUUAAAACUGUACAUUUUUAGUUUGAGGAUAUACCUUAGAGUAGUCACGGCGCAGACGGUGAACACACCUGAGGCCCCUGCAGAGGAGAUAAAUUUAGUGUACAAGUUUUAAGGGUGUAAAAAGCGAGGCAGUAGUAGAAUUUGUGGUCGUGACUGUACAAAUGUUUUACCAGGUGGAGUCCUCCAUAAAUUUUUUUAACGUACGGAUUAUUUUCUAAUUAAGGAACCUUUUUUCCGGACAAUUUGCGAGUUGAGAUUCUAUCCAGAUUCAUUAUGUCAUGCUGUUACGAAAUUUCAAAUUUUACCUUUCGCUGUUUCUUUCGACGUUUCGAGCACAUGAUGAAGCUCAAAUUGGUGACUGGUAGUCGUCGUGCUUGUUGAACGGCACCAUGAAUGUUUUUGAGCUUCACAUCUGUCCUCCCGAAGACUUUUAACCGAGGCUUUAUAUGUUCAGGGAACUGAUUUCCGCAUUCCGGUCUUCUCCUUAUGCGUUCUUCUUCGCUUCGGUUGAUUGAUUCUUCUUUGAUGUAUUCAAUCGACGGUUGGAAUACAGAGGAGUGUAUGGCGAGAAAAAGAAUUGCAGAAAUAUUUCAUGUGUUUAUUUAUCGAGAAUGGCAUAUCAAGAAAGAACGAGCAUCUGUUCCAUAGCCGCAAUAGAUUCUAGUUACCCAAAUGAUAUGACUGAAACCAUAAUACCAAAGAAGCAAAGUAAUACAUAGCACUGACAAUUAGUGCCAAAUUGCCAACAAUACAAGAAAAACCCACCAAACGUACCCAGAAUUUUGCCCUAGAGUUUGGUCUGCUCAAAUCAACUAUAUUUAGGAGGGCAAAACGUUAUGACAUACCUAGGAGCCGUACAAAUCUUAAGCCCUGUACAAUCAUCAAAGGCAUAACUACAAGCUCCAGCACAAUACCGGUAGGCUUGCAACUCUCUGGAUCUGCAAACUCCCCUCUGCAGCAAUACCGGUCUGAUUUCCGGCGAAGCAAGCGCUCUUGCACCCUACCUUGUUUCUUGACCACCAAGGCAAGUGGCAGCAAACGUUCAAGUCAGCCUCACAGGCAGCAACUCCACACCCACUACCACCUAUUGGCCUCAUUGAAGCUGGCACGUUGAAUCCGUCAAUCAAACUCACAUCACAGUAAUGCAAGGCUGAGUUCGAGGUUCCGAGCGUCAUUUCAAAGGGUGUGGCAGGGGGGACUCUGCCGAGUCCCCAGCAUUGUAAGAGGCCGGCGCAAUCAUCCGUUUGGCAUGUGCCUUUGCCAGUUUUUUCAUCAAAGCAGCAGCCUUGCCUCCCCUAUAGCCUGCCCGACCAGUUUUCGGGGACGUUAAGGACUUGUUGCUCGCCGCUGGAGGGCUGGAAGCCGCGUCUCGAGGAGUUUGGUGGCCUGCUUGCCGAGGAUUCCGGGUCAUAUACUCUCCUUGCAGUUGUUCACUACGAUGAGUUGAGUCCCAUCUGCAAACAACAAUGCUAUUUGUCAACCAAAGUUUUAUAGAAACCAACAAAUAAGGAAUGUUCAGCGUUCGAUUCUCUCCGAUGUAACAAAAAAAUUUCGAGUAAAAAAGGAGAGAGUAUUUGAUUGCCUGUGAAGGAGAGGGAAAUGAGAAAGGAGAGAAGGAAGAAGAUUUGACGUGAGAUUGGCAUUUGUUCAUGAGUAAUGGAGAUGUGAGUUGGUAACUGGGAGGCUCUUCUAUUUACAUAGUGUGGAAAAGUGAAAAGGGGUUUUCCUUCGUUCUCGCCAUCAUGGAAAGGAGUGGUAGCCUUAAGAACAACUGCACAUGUAAUGGCGGUUUGCAAAUUGCAUAGGUUAGACCAGUUGGUCAGGACAUUGCGUCCGUAAUUUUUCACUUAAAUUAAAGCAGUUUAGUUUUAUUCAUGUGGAUUGGAUCUAUGAGCCUCUCAUGAAGCUUGUCUAUAGAAAAAGAUGAUUGCUUAAGUGAAAAAGGUGAAGAGAAUUUGACAGCACAAGAAAGCACACUUGAAACCAGUAUAGAUUACUCUAGGGUUUGGUUGAGAUGAUUUUUGGGAAAAUGUAUAUGAAUAUGUCCCAGGAAGGUUUUUGAGAAAAAAUUAAAUGAAACGAGUGCAUUCAUUUUCGAUAGUGACUUUUUACAGUCAAAAGUUUUGCUUUCUGCUUUCUUUGUUUUUAUUCAUUAAUUCUUUGAUCUAUUUAAUUCUAAAAUUGCAAAAAAAAUAAAAGAUUACAUAAUAAAAAACGUGAGUGAAAAAUCAUUUUCUUUUUUGUCACAUGUGGCAAGUACAUGGUAUGAAACAGAUAAGACCUUGUAACUAGACGAGCUUCGGCAUUUUACUUUCUUAAAAUGUGAAAAUCAUGAAUUGAAAAGCGAAAUAAGAGAAUUGAUAAGAGAUCAACAAAUUAAUUUGAAGAAUGAGAUUAUUAAUAAUAAUGUGGAAUCCACUAUUUUUUUUUUAUUUCAUACGUGUUCCUAAAUACUUAGGAAGUUAUUAACUGAAAUAAUUUCAAUACCCGUGUUUUAAUAAAUGCAAAGCAGUUCAUAUCAAAAUAAUUCCGAAACUCUUAACGUAAACUAGCAUUUCUGCACGCGCUCAUGCGCUUGCGAAAGACAUUUUUUUAAUCACGGUGCACUACGCGCAACUUACACAUUUUAGAUGUAUUUAUAUGCGAGGAUUGGUUCAAUGUAUAGAAACAUAAAAUAAAGGCGAUUAUCAUCUCUAAUAAUACAGGCGAAUUUAAAGUAUUUUAUCUAGAAUAUGUAAAAAAAAAAAGUAAUAAAAUUGAGAAAGACAAUACUCUUUUAAUAAUUAGUACACAAAUAAUCAUACAUCAUAUGAAUUUUACACACGAAUUCAUUAAUAAUUAAGCAGGGCAUUGAAUAGAAAUUUCAUAAUGGAGUACACCUUCACUAAUCUGUCAUCCUUUUCGAUCAAGAAAUUUUUCAGAACUUCCACUUUGUAGUCCCAAUCCUUAUUGACAAAUCUGCAAAGAAUAAAGAAAACGAAAGGAGUGCAAAAUCAAUAUUGGAUUUGGGGAUUUUCCCUAGCUCUCUAAAUGCCCUCUAUCUUUUAACAACACACAAUAGUCAUGAAACAUGAAGACAUCAAUACCCGCUUGAACCGGCGAGGCAGCUCGAAUUUCAGAGCGAAUGACACCUUCAGAAACUUUAAUAACCUGUAAUCCUUUUCAACAAAGAAAUUUUUCAGAGCUUCCACUUUGUAGUCCUAAUCCUUAUUUACAAAUCUGCAAAGAACAAAGAAAAUGGGUAAAAAUGCAUGCUUUGAUCUCCUGAUUCAAUUGAAAAUGCAUGCUUUGAUCUGUAUAUAGUUGUUGACCCUAAAAACUACCAAGCCUACGUGGCACGCAGACCGAGUAACUAAUGAGCUAACUACGUCAUUCGGUUAUGUGUGGGGCGUGCCAACUCGAUGGUCGAGCUCGGCUGGUGAGUAAAAUGAGUUGAUGUUGCGUUGAGCGUGUUGCUAACUUCUUGAUCUUGCGACUGCGGCUGAGGAAGGAAUACGUCUAGGCCUUUGGGUUCUAGAGCCUGAAGACAAGGCUGCUAGUUCUACGAAGUUCAAUAUCAAAUUCGACUUUCAAUGUGCCGAAUGUAGUCACUUGUAACACCUCACUUCGUCGAGAAGGUUAAUGAGAUGACCUCUGCCAAUAAGAAUUCAAAAAUCUUUCUCGAUCGAGACUUGGAUAGAUAACCAGUCGGCCUCGACGCAGUGCUGUUUAUCUGAAGGUGCUUCGUGGUCGGCUGAUUCUACGGCAACAAUGCUGUUUAUCCAAACUGAAGAUGUUCGCCGGUUGCCUUCACAGUGCUAUUUAUCCAAACUGAAGAUGUGUCGGCGAAAAAGAAAUUAAAAAUCUUAAGGUUGUUAAGAGGUUUCACGUAGAGCGAGAAUUUAUGCAGGGCAGUUUGUGUGUUGAAUUUGAGGGGCUUUUCCCGCUGCCACUGCGUCUGUAUUUAUAAGGUUGGUGUACUUGCUUGGCACGACUAGAUAAUUUUGUAGUCCAACUGCAACUAUAUUUCUCGGAACCGAAAUUAAUCAACGUCAGAGACUAAGGCAUAUCUUUCAGAUAGAUGUUCGUGAUUUUCCAAACCUCAUAAAAGCCUAUCAAAAUAAAAGUCUUCUUAUCAUCAUAGCCUAGCCUAGCUAGACUCGUCAUCAUUAUCCAAGACCAUUAUUUUCAUUAUCCUUACAUCCCAUGCAUACAUAAAAAACAAAA
rnacentral:lncRNA from 1 species